AAAAUCCCAAAAAUCCGAUCAACCCUACAUUUGAUAAUGAAGGCCACUGACGCCUUUUUGUACAUUUUAUAUAACCCGUAAGCCCACCACAAGUACGGAAUGCUCACUUCCUCAUUAUUCUUCACUCCUCCUUCACCAAAUUCAUCAUUUGCUUUAGAAUUCCGAUCAAUUUCUGAUAUCCCAAUGGCUCCAUCAAUCAAAAGAGGAAAGAUCAAAUCUCAAGUGUACAACGACAUUUAUGGUGUUGUCGCUUCAUUCGCCACCAAAACAGUCGAAACCUUUGCUUUCAUCAGGAACACCACCACCACCACCACCACCACCACCACCGGUGACAAUAACGACGGCGGCGAUGGAGACCCCAACGGAGGUGGAUCUUCUCCGCCUCCAAACAACAACAACAACAACAGUCCAUAAUCAGCUACUAAUCUAUCACGAAUUCUGUUCCUUUUUCCCUUUGUUGUAUUUCGACUUGUAGCUUGUGUAAAAUCGUGUAUGAAUCGUGAAGAAUAAUUGGGAAUUGGGUCUGUUGUUUGUGAAAUCUUGGGAGUUUUAUUAUCAUUAUUAUUAUGAGUCGGGAUAUAUAUUAAAUCACCUUUUGUUGUAUGUUUCUUGAAAUCAAUAUAUUGAAAACCAAGAAUUCGUGAAAAUUUCUUCCAUUUUCUGUUUUCUUGUUUAUACAGCCGCCAACAUAGAUCGUCCAAAGCUAUGCUUACUUGUUCUAUGUGCAUCAUAUGCUGUACUGUACAAGUGAGUGAAGUACCGCAUAAAGAUAAACCAUGGUCAAAUGACUUUCGCAUAGGUCAUUAAACUUUACAUGUAAAUUUCAUAAUCUUUACAUGGCAUAAAUUAAAUUCGUGAAUUAUUAUGACUUUCACAUAAUAGGCUAUUUGGAUAAUUGGAUUAUUUAAACUUUUUUAGGGACGAAAAAAAAAAAGAAUUGGAGGUUCCUUGAUUGAUUAAUAAAUAAUGAUUGGAAUUUGGAAAUUGUACUUGUUGAUUGACUAAUUACUUGUUAUGGAAAUUAGUGUGAUCGUUGUAGUUUUUUGCUGACAACUUUGAUGAAAAUUAGGAUUAUUCUCUUUACAGGAAAGAGAAAAGAAAAAACAAUUACCAUGUGAGAUUGUGAGUGCGUAGGCCCCGGCUACUAUCCCACUCUUUGUGAAAAUGCAUUUUUUUUGAUGUAUAUAAUUUAAUUAAAAUAUUUGUAUUCAUUACAAAAAUUUUAAGGUUUUAAGAUCGGCGGAAUACCCAAGAGGAAGGGUCUCGUGAUCUACGUGGACAUGAGCGUUUUAUAAAAUCACAGCCUAAAAAAAGGUAGGGCAACGAACAAAUAAAGAACACAUUCUAGAAUGCUAAAAAAAGAGCAACACCAGUCCAUCCAAUUAUAAAUCUCGAAAUUACUCCUAUGUUAUCGUAACUAAACACAAAUAGUAACCACAUUAUCCACCCGUUUAGGAGAAAAGAUAUGAAUCUUGUUAAAAAUAAAUGGCGAGAUUUUUUUUUUCUCUUUUUGGUGCAAUGAUCCCACGUAGCGGUGUAGUUGACGAACACACAUUGAGGAAAAUUGUUCAUAGGUAACGUCUCACCAUUUGAAGAUCCAAAGCAGCGCAUCCAUUGCAAAUUUACACCCAACAAGAACAUGCUUUGUCUCCCCAAUCCUUAAAUUGCAUAACACACAUGAAGUACUACCAAAAGAGACACAUCUACUUGCAAGCACCAUAACAGAGGGGAUAUGAUCCAUGUAGGCCCGCCACAAGAAACUAGUGAUUUUGACAUACACCAAUCUUAACCAGAUCGUUGGGUUAUACACCAAAAUUGUGACCUUGUUAUCGAUCAACGCCCUUUUAAGUCUUGGACAUAAAACUUACCAUCACCAGACAACUUUGAAUUCAAGCCAUCCAGUGAACCAAGACACAAUACCUUGGAAAUGAUCCCUGAGACAAUAACCAAUUCUGAUAACUCCAUUGGAUCCUUUGGUUUCCUCUUCUAAUGUCAAACAAACUUGUUGGCAUUCACCCUCUCAGAAAUUAAACAAGACUUCCUUUUCCAAAUAAAAAUAUAGGGGAAAUGAGAGGCAAGGGAACCACCUCCUAGCCAAUCAUCCAACCAUAAAAGAAUGUUGUUACCAGAACCAACAUGAAACUCAAAAACAUAAGAUAACUCAAUACUAAUCUCAUAAAGUGUUGAGAUCACUUUCACAAUGUUGCACCACACCCUAUGGGAAGUUUUCUUGGCUAAAAUAUAGACCAACUUUCUGGCAUUGUUGUGAGUCCCAACAAUGACACGUCUCCAUAAGGAAGAAGCAUCUGACUUGAAUCUACAUAACCAUUUUGAUAAAAGAGCCAAAUUCAUCAAGAAUAACGAUAUGAGUCCAAGCUCGCCAUUAAUUUUAUGCCCUAGAACCACUUUCCAAGCUACCCAUUUGAUUUAAUUUUAUCCUCACUACCCCCCCCCCCAUAAGAACUUUCUCCGCAUCUUUUCAAGGCAAUCAAUAAUGGACAUCGACACUUUGAAUAACGAAAAAUAAUAGAGAGGUAGACUGCCGAGGACUACUUGAUUAAAGUCUGGCGGCCUCCAAAAGAAAGCGAAUUCAUUUUUCAAUCUGAUAACUUAAUUUGCACACACUCAAUAAUUGGUUGCUAAUAUUUUUUUAGAGACAUGUUGGCCCUAAACAGCACCAUCAAAUACUUGAAAGGGAACGAGUCCACUUCACACUUAAUAAUACGAGCACAAAUCACGAUAUUACUAUCCAGAACCCCAAUACCAUACACCUUCAACUUAUGAAAAAUAACCUUAAGGUUGGACAAAGCAUGAAAACACCUCAGAAUACACGUCAGAUUGACAAAAUUUGAGUUUGUCCAUUUUCCCACAAACAUAAAAUCGUCUGCAUAGAACAAAGAGGAAAUCGAAGGUCCAUUUUUGGGAUUAUUAACUAUGUUAACCAAAGAGUUUUGGUAGGCAGUUGGCCACAUUAAGGUCCUCCAUGGCAAUGACAAACAAAAAUGGAGAGAAUGGGUCACCUUGUUGUACACCUUUAGUCAAAGGGAACUCUUUAUAUGUAGAACCAUUGAUUAAGACAGACACGCUAGAGGAUGAUGGUAAACUUUUAUCCAAAACCUCAAUUUAACCCCAAAUCCCAUUUAGAACAAUACAUAAUCCAAAUACCCUUAGUUAAUGGAAUCAAAAGUCUUCUCAAAAUCAACCUUAAACAAAUAUUUUUUGCUUUUGGCUUUGUUUGCCCAAGAACAUACCUCAUUAAUGAUCACUCGACCUUCAAGAAUGUUACACCCAUGUAUAAAGUUAGUUUGUACCUCGUAAAUAAUUAAACCAAUAACCUUUUUAAUCCAUGACAUGAGAGUUUUGGCGAUGAUUUUGAAGACACAACGAAUAAGAAUGAUUGGGUGGAAUUCACUAAGAGUGAGAGGGUCAUUCACAUUGGGAACCAAGGUGAUGAAAGACGAGUUACUUCCCCUGGACAGGAAACGAAAAGACUUGAUAUGUUUCAUAAAAUGCAUAAUGUCAUCCUGCAUGAGAUCCCAGUAGUUCUUGAGAAAUUUAAAUGUGAAGCCGUCUGACCUUAAAGCUAUCUCCUUGCCACAGUUCCAUAUGGAUUCCUUAAUCUCGUUGAUAUGGAAUGGUGCUUCCUGAUAGGUUUUCUAUUCAUCUAUACACUAAUAUUUGGCAGCAUAUGAGUUUAAAAUGGCUCUAAGUGUAUAUGCAACCUAGGAUCUAGGUUUUACUAGUUGUAACAACCUACUUUCAAAACUACUAAAUAAUACUCCAAAGAGAGAUAGGAUUACUAACCUUUAAGAAAAUCAAAUUUGCUUCUUGAAUCCUUGAAGAUCUAGAAAAUCUUGAAGCUCUUGGAAGGUUUUAGCACGCAAGUAGAAUGCCUCUAAAGGGUUACACCCAAAAGACUAAACACCAGAAAAUUAGAAGAUAUGAGAAGAGGCUUAAAAAACUUGAAAUCUCUUAGUGCAAGGGAUCUAGGGACGAAAUCAAUGAAGGACAAGAGGGACUAUUUUGUAGAUGAGUAAACUUGCAUUGAAAGCAUAUUUAAAUUAAUUAAAUAAUCAAAUUUAAUCUUAAUUCAAAUCAUUGCCUUAUUAAUAGCUAUGAAUGAAAUCCUAAAGGGAUUUAUCUCUUCAAAAUCAUCUAGGGUUCUAGAAUAUUCUAGUUGCCAACCUAUUGAUUAAUUAAUAUUUAGUAUUUGUACUUUUAAACAAUUUUUUAUUAAUUCUAAUUAAUUCCAAAUUAAUUUUAAAUUAAUUCAAAUUAGUUAAAGUUAAUUCUUAAUUUAUUUUAACUAGUUUAUAAUUAUUUUAUCAAGCUAUGAUAAAUUAAUAAACUAUUUAUCUCACUCUCUUAAAUCUUUUUCUAGCUAUUUUAGCUCUUGAGGGCAACCCUAAAAUGACUUUGUUAUUAUUUCUAAAGUUAUACCAAUUAGUUAUGAAAUUGGACACUCAUUUCCAAAAGUCUCCCGCUUGGACACAUUAUCAAUUAAUAUUGGUCGAAUAAUCUUUAGAUAACGAACAAAGUGUGUCUUCCACAACAAUAGCCGAACUCUGAUCUAAUCAAGAAUCAACCCUUAGAUGAGUGAUCAAUUAUUCCUUUGUUUCUACAAGAUAUUUGUAUGAAAUGAGUCAUGGAUUUAUUAAUCAACCUAACAAUUUAACAUUUUGUUUUUCGAUUUCCAAUUUAUGAUUAUCAAAUCAAACUACUAAUUAAACAAAUCAAUUUAGUCUGGGCUAGGCCUAACACAUGGGGUGUCAUCGUCAAAUCAACGAGGGGCCUAUGAUAUCGCUUUUUGCCAUUGAGGAAAAAGGAAUAGAUAAACUUUGACUACACUGCUUUUGUCUACUCAUCGAAUCAUGCAUAGAGUUACUUGUUAUGACCACUAGUUACGAAUAGCGUUAGAUUAAGACUAACACACAACUAACUUGUAUGCAAAGUACUCAAUGUCUCUCUAUUUUAAGAAUUAAAGAUAAUAUCAUCUCAUAAUACUCAUGAUAAAAUCAUGAAGUAAUCUCUCUUAGUGCGGGUUUCUCCAAUAUUUAAAUCUAUAUUAAAAUACUCAAAAAUGUUUGUCUCAAUCUCAAUGCUAUGUCCAAUGCCAAUAGACACUCAACUAUCACUUCACAACAAUCUUAUUUCAAUGCUUACUUCCAAGAGUAUGAAUGAUUGUGGAGGUUUAAGUAAAUUAACACUCGGGAAGUCGGGAUCUAAACAUGCAAACACAAAACACAAUAAUAAAUUAAUUGUAAAUGGCAACACUCCUGAUUAUAAGUAAUUCUCCGUUAUUUAAUCGCCAAAACAAUUAAAAAAUUUAGCUAUCAUCAUAAAUGUUUCAACUAAUCAACUAACUAGUAAACUUUACAUCAUCUAUCAUGCCUAUUUGUUGAAGAUUUUAUGUUGCGUCAUUGGGACCUUUUGUAUAUGUCUAUUAUGUAAAUGGGUUGGGCAUGUUCUCAAGUAUUUUAUUAUAGGGUUAGAGUAUUUAUGGUGUGUGCAUGCAUCUUAUUUUUGUUAACUCUGAUAAUUACGCUAUAACCCUAAUCAUGCCUCUACAGUUGAAAUUCUUCAUCGAGUUCAUCUAAGGCGUGACGCUUAAUCAUUUGACAUUCUUGAUUCAUCAUUGUGUUAUUUCUUUUACUUGUUCUGAAUCUGAUUGAUCCUUAAGGAUUUUAAUCCUAACAAUUGGUAUCAGAGUAUGAGAUUGUGUAAUCUAUACGCAUCUCUUCUUUUUGCAGAGUUUUAGGGUUUCUGUUUGUAACAUCUUGAUUCAGAUUGUCCAUGAUUAGGGUUCGUGGGCCACGAGCCGAGCAUGAGGAAGUCUCGGGUUGUGGCGAGUUGCUGGAAUCGUAAGGCAUCUCAUCACCUUCCCGUAGGUAUGAGGAUCUUUGGAAUUGGAGUUAUAUCAAAGAAGCUAUGGAAGUUUGAAGAUUUGGCAAGAUGAGUCCCUAAAGUGGAGAAGUAUGGAAGCGAAGUACGUUGGGCGUACGUAUGCGUACGCUUAGCGUACAAAUGCACGUGUUCCUUAAGCAAGAGCCACCUAGUACGCUGGGCGUACCAGAUGGUACGUUGGGCGUAGUAGGAAUAGAAGGAAAACCCUAAUAUUUUAAGUGACCCUAUAUAAAGAAUGAGAUGGCCUCAUUCCUAGCCACCUUUCUCAAAGAGCAAACCCUCCAAAAUCCUUGUCCUUCAUUCUUGGAGCUUGUAUGUGUUUUUAAGAGCUUUUGAGAGUUUUGUGUGCUCUAGAGGAGAAGUGGAAGCCUUGAAGAAGAAGGAGUUGGAGUCCAAGCUUCUAAAUCUAAGCAUAUCUGAGAUGGGAGCGUCUUUUUGAGGUAUAAAGCUUGAAACUUUACCUCUCUUUUGUUUUAAGCAUGUUAAUGGGGUAUUUUAGGGUUUUGUCCCAAAAAGGUGGAGACUUGAUGGGAUCCUGAACUCCAGAGACUAAGACCCUCCCCUUUUGAGCUUAUUAGUGGUGUAAUGUCAUAAAAAUGGGACCUUGGGUGUUAGGACCAGGUUAUGCAUGAGAUAAGAGCUUAAUGGGUAAAGAGAAUAAGUGUUUUGUGUGCUUGUGACUUCUUCAGCCAUGCAAAGGCUUAAAAUCAUUAGCUUUAUGGAGUUGGAGAUGUUAGGAAGUCCAGAUCCAAGAGAUGAGUUAAGGUCUUAAUGGGUUAAGACCCAUAAAUUAAUUUAAGAAAAACUGAGAGUACGCCCAGCGUAAUGUUGGAUUAAUGUCUAAGUCCAUAACUAUAUUUGGUAUGUACUUGACCCGACCCGGCAUGGUCCAUUUGGGUUGCACUUCACCGACACAAUUUAUAUGGAUAAUCUUUUGAGAAUAGUAUGUUUACGAUUAAUAUUAAUAUAUUAUAAGUUCUAAUAUAUUAAUAUGGAAUCGUAUUAUUUAAUUAGUAUUGAUCAAGAAUUAAUUUAUAAUUAAUUAAGUGAUCAAAAGGAACUAAUUAAAUAUGGACUCUUAUAUAUAUGGAAUGGGCCAAGUUCAUUUAGGUUGGGCUAAGCUUUCAUGGAUAGUCCAUGGAGUGUUUAACCCAUGGAUCCUAGGAAAUGAAAGGUCAUGGGUAUUAGGGUUUAACCCUAAUCCUCCAUACUAUAUAAAGAUGUCUUUGGUUGGUGAAAUUGGCACUAGUGUGGAUACACUAAAGAAGGGCUAGCCAAUUUCACUAGAGAGAACCAAGUAAUCAUAUUCUCUAAAGUAUUCCAAGGUGUCUUGGUGAUUUGUGAUUCCACUUGAGGCUUCCACACUAUUGGGGCUAAGCUCUUAAAGCUUGAAGACAUCAAGCUACAUCAAGAGGUAUGUAUUCUAUCUUGUUACAUUCAUAGUUUUUGUAUGCUAGAUUAGGAUAAUACCUUGGAUGUUCUUAUUUGCAUGUAUAAUAGAGAAAACAUAGAUCCAAGGUAUUUAGGGUUGCAUGUACACUUAGGAAGUGUUAGAAUGCUCAAAACCCAACAGUGGUAUCAGAGCCACGGGUUGUUUUCUGUUAUAUUGAUGCAAAUAUUUUAUUUUCAAAGUUGAAAAAAAAAAAAAAAAAAAACAUGAAGUUUGUCAAAUUUUAAGAUAAUUACUUGUUCUUGUGAAAAACUAAUUAUUUGUAAAAUUUGAAUAAUUUGCUUUAUGAGUUGAAUUAGGUCAAAUUUAAUAAAAGAUAAAAUAAUAUGAUUAUUUUAUUAGUUUUAAAAGUUUGAUCUAAAGAGUUUUAUUUUUUGAAACCUCCAUAAGUUAUGGAUAUGAAAAGGUUUUAAAAAAAAAAUUGAUUCAAAGUUUUUUUGGAGUUACAAAAUUUGGUGUUAAUGUUUUAAAGGAUUCCAUAACUUAAGAAUAAGUUAUGGAUCACCAAAAGUUUUUUGUGUUACCUUGUUUUAUGAGUGAAUUUAGAUUAAUGAAUAAAAUUAUGUGAUAGUUGGUUUUAAUCCAAAUUAAUCUAAGAAUUGAUUCUAAAAUGUGUUUUUGUAACUUGUCCUCAAGUUAUAUGAAAAGUCACAUUUAAGAAUCAUAAAACUCAUAAAAAUUGGCAAAGGUUACAAAAAUGAAGAGUCUAGUUCUAAUUAAAUGGUUUUAUGACUCCAUAACUUGUCCUCAAGUUAUGGAGGACCAAGAGUCUCUUCAUUUAAUAAAAUAAAAUAAAAAAAAAAAAAGUGUAACCUUAAUUAAUUCCAUAAGUUAUAAAAUAAAGAAAAGUUAAUUCUUUUAUUAGUUUAAAGUCUUCCAUAACUUGUCCUCAAGUUAUGGAACUUGAAGAGUUUUUGGAUUAAAACUACUUUAAACACAUAAGUUAUGGAAUUAAUUAGUUUUGAAUAGUUUCAAAACUUGCCCUCAAGUUUUGGAAUUUGUAAAGUUUUCACUUAUGAAUACUUUAAUUCCAAGUUAGCCCUUAGAAUUUUAAAAGUUAAAAUUCAACCCUUAUACUUUAUAAUAUUAUAAGUUAAUAAUAUAUAUAUGUAUAAGAGUAAAGUCAGUCUUACCGCUAGUACGCCUCAUUCACGAAGCCGGUCUAUAAGGUGGGUAUAAGGUUGUUGCCUAUAAAAUGGCAACUUAAUGGGUGUCCACUCUCACCCACCGCUUGCUUGACUGGUGGAGGGUCGUUAGCCGAACGGGUUUGACAGGACUAGAAUUCUCCCUUCAUUAAAAGUAUUAAUGAUAAUACUAAGUAACUAAACUCUUAAUAAUACCCAAUCUUAGUUACUUAGGAAAAAUGUGAAUAAGGUGCUAAUCCAUGAAAUUACACUUUACACUUUGUCUAAGUCGUUAGUGGAGCGUGUGUGGUUAACCGGCACACUAACUUGGACUUAACAAGGUAGGUAAAGGGUGACUUAAUAUUUAUCAUAGUAUCGAUGGAGCGUGUGUGGUUAACCGGCACAUCGAUUGAGGGGUAAUUUAUUAAGGGUACCAAGUGAUUUGCAUGGUUACUUCACACCUUGUUUUGUGAUCCUCGGCAUCCCAGUCACAAAACCUGAAGGGCACACUCGAGAUUGAAACAUGCCUUUGAACAGUUCAAUGAAUCUCAAAGAUCUAGGAGUUUCAAAACCAAUUAAAACCUAAUAAUACAUUUCGUUUAUCUUGGUGGAAAUUGGUGAAUCGUCAUUCACCUACCUUCAAAUAUUUUAUAGCUUGGAUUACGGCAUACCUCUUCUAAGUUAUAAAAUAGUUUGUUGGGUCCUAGCCUUAAUAUUUCAUAUUGGGUGUCAUAUUAAGGACUUUAAAUCAACUAUCUUGAAUAUCUCCCAAAAGAUGUCUGGUUUAGACACCUAUGAUCUUCCCAAAUCUCUUGAAACAAGGUUUCCUAAUGAAGAUGAUGUCCCAUGGAUAUCAUACUUCUUUCUCCUCCUCCAAUUAUUCUCCCUAACCCACAAGUUCUUGAAAAGUUUAAGGUCACUCAAGCCCUAUUGGCAAGGCAAGGUCUAGGUGUGAUCACAUCUUGGAGAUGUAGUCACAUAUUGACAAGCCGGGAGAGUUGGGUGUCAAAGUCUUGAGAAAGUUGGUGGUUCAAUCACUUUCUAAGUCACAUAGUGAGUUCCUUUGGGACACCUAUGAAACAGACUAUGACAAGACCCUUAAUGAUCUUAUCUAUUUGCUAAGAUCAACUUCCUAAAACUUUAUGGACAUUGACAAUGAUGACAUUGGAUAUCCAGUAAAGCAUUCUCUUCCCAAUGGAAAGGGAUCGGCCAUAGUCAACUCGGUUGACCAAAUGGUAAAGAGAAAAGCUAAGUCUGUGAUAGUCUCGUGUACCAUUAUCAAAGGGUCCAUAUGUUUAUAUUGCCAAAGGAAGGGGCAUUGGUUGCGAAGCUGCCAAAUUUACCUAAGGAUGUUAAAGUCAAUAAGUUUGACUCUACUUCAGGUAAAGUCCACUAUCUAACUCUGUUAAGUUUCUAUUCUGAGAUUCCUGAUACAUGAUGUGACUGGGUCACAUGGUGAUGUUUUAAGAAUCAAAGAAAAGUGAAGAAACUUAAAGAAAGAAUAUGCUGAAUCUGAUGGCGUAGAUGGAUUUCUAUCGCAUAGUUUGAAGAUCGGAUUCUUGAGCAACUUCUUAGGAGUUAUGAGAUAUUGCUUAGGAAUAGAUAACAACAAGUUUUCAUAUGGAUUGUAAGGAUAAGUUUUUCCGCAAAGUUUUAAAAUAAAAGAAAAUUUUUGAUUUUAUUUAUUUUAAAAUAUCCUUACAAUGGCAUUUGAGGAAAAAUUGUUGCUUAUAUGAUUCCAUUAAUAGCAAGAGUGGAAAUAUGAAAUUGAUUCUUUCAUUUGUGGUAAUGUCUAGAUUUACCAAAUAAGGAAAGAUUCUCAUCACCCAAGUUUCAAUUGGACCGGAACUUGGAAUCAUGCAAGUUGUAUAGCAUGAUGAAUGAGAACUUUCAAGUUUUGGAAAAUUAAGACUAAUUACUCGGCCACAUGGAUGUGUGAGUCAAGUAAAGGACUAAGGGAUCGAGUACACAUUCUUGUGCACUGAUUAAGUCCACCACAAAAGAUUGAUAAGACUAUUCGUCAUAGUUUACUAAAGCUCAGUAAAUAUGAUUAUACUUACAAGCUUAAGUGUAACUCUGAGACAUUGGAAAAGGUUCCAAUGUAUGGCAGAGCGAAUAAGAAGAAUCAAAUUAGGCAGAAGGAUAAAAGUUUCUCAAAUCUGAAAAGAUGGGAGAGUACUUUAGUAUCAGUUUUGUGAUCAUCUUAAUGAUUAAGAAACCAUAUCAAAAUUAGUUCUCUAAGGAAAUCUUAGUGCAUUCUUAUGACUAAGAAGAGGAACUUGAAUUGUUGAAAUGGUUAAAUCAAGAAGAUGAGUCAUACUUCGUUCCAAUACAAGUCUUAGAGUCAUACUCCAAGAUUGUAACUUGAGUGACAUGUCUUAAAGAAGGUUUAAAACACUUGUCAAAUGUAAGAGUAAAAGUUUUCUACUCUUGUACAUUUGAAAUUGGUAAGUUGUGAUGUUUUGGAUAAAACAAAGACCAACUUAGGCCAAUUGUGUGAAGUGUUUGUCUUGAUUAGAAUCCACACUAUCUCUUGGAUAUUUGACAAGGGAGUCUUAUAGGUCAAGAGGUCAGUGGGAGUCUUAAAAGUCUUGAAAGUCUCAAGAACUAAUCAAGAAUAAAACCUAAAGUUCUUCACUAGCACACAACUUGAGGUUCAUAACCUAUCGUGUUGACAUAUUCUGUGCCCAUUCCAGUUAAAGUUGGUUUUGCAUAUGAGUUCUUAGAGUUCUCAAUUUGUUGCACAACAACUUGGAAGCAAUGGUAGGCCCUUGAGCUGCCAGGUGGCAAGAAAUUAAGAUUGAGUUCAGUCCAUAUGAGUUUGGAUUUGUCAUUAUCCUUGUCUUGUGACUAUGGUUUUGACAAUUCACAUGGAUAAGAACACAUACACCAUUAAAUCUAAGUGUCAUAAGGUUUCUCUCCGAUUCAUGAAAAUGAUGGUGAGGAAACACUUUCACUAAGUAGAUUUUAGCUAGAUAGCAAUUGUGAUAUUUGCAUUCUCAAAGUCGUUAGUGGAGCGCGUGUGGUUAACCGGCACACUAAUUUGGACUUGUGAGAAGUGGCAAAAAGGUCUAAACAUUAUGAUUACGGCAUCCCUCUUCAUAAUUGUUUAGAUACACAAGUGUGCUAUCUAAGGGAAGGUGUAUGAUUUUGAUAAAGUUUUAUCAAAACAAUCUAGCAUCAGAAAUCUGAACUUUGGUAAGAAAGUCAAUGAAGUAUUGAUUUCUAGAAGUCCAGCUGAUUUCUGAGUACAUGUCAAAGCUAGUGGGAGCAUAAGUGUUAUGCUAAUAAUCAUCAUGUUAGUGGGAGCAUGAUAAUUAUGAUAAGUAUUGCAAGUUAGCAAUGUUAAUUAUAGAAAACAAAAGUUUCAAUUGGGAAAAAGUUGUUUUGCUAUAAUUAAGGGAGAGGAAAUUAUACUUCAUCUCAAAUCUAUAAGCUUAGAUCGUGAGGUUUUAAUCAUUUAGUCAAGGAUAUAUAUGAAUUUCAUGUUGGAAUGGCUCAACAUAAGGAAAUUCUGUAUAUGGGUCCAUUAUUUGCGUUCUAAAAUUCGAUUAUGAUUACGGCAUCCCUUUUCAUAAUCUGAAUUAUGAGAACUUGGCAAAUUGAAAUGGAAAUAUUAUAGCAAAAGACUGGUUUAGUCUUUAUGUAAGACAUCAUGAAUCGUGUCCCAUAUGCUUCGGAUAUAGGAUCGAUUACAUGUGCUAUAUUCAUCCGUUCUAAAAUUUUCCAAAUGCCUGGGGCAUUAAGAAGGGAAAAGGUUUAGAACUGGAUAUGACUAAAAGGAUUAAACAAUUGUCGAGGACAAUCUAAGGUUUACCAAAGAUUGGUUGCUCAAGGACAGUUGGAAGUAUAGUGAUAAUUCUGGAAGGACCAUAUUGACAUAAUCUGUAAGGAGGCAACUCUUGUUCAGAAGUGAUAGUCAAAAUGGAAUCUGGAAAUGUUUCAAAGUUAGAAUUUUCAAUCUGUUUAAGAUUAGGAAACUUAAUGCAAGAAGGAUGUUUCCAAGGAGCUGAUCUCCUUUGGAAUACUCUGUAAUGAUUGUUGUCAAGUCUUUCUGACUUUGUGCAUAAUCAUUACAAGAGGAUCAAUGCAUAUAAGUUUAGAAUCUAACAGAUUUCAGUAAAUGGCAUGAAUUUGGAAUUCUUGCAUUUGCAGUAAGGAUUUGGGAGUGUGAAAAGAGAAUCAUUGAAGUUAUGUUCAAUUGAUCUAGUUCACAAAGUAAAGAUCAUAGACAAACAUAGUAUGCAUACUUGGUGUGUGGCAUGACUAGUGUUUAAGAAAACAUAGUGUACAUGCUUGGAGCAUGGGACAACUAUUGUUUUAAAUUCAAGAAUAAAGUUGAUAGCUGAAACAGUAUACAAUGAAUAAUGUGUAAUCAUAUGGUGAUAAAUAAAAGGUGUUUUAUUUAUGUUCAAAGAUUUGAUACCAUAUUGGAUUCAAUUAUUAUUGUGUUUCACUUUGCAUGUUUUGACUUCCCGAAUAAACUAGGUUAUUCUUCCGGAAUGACUAAGUUAUUCAAACCAUCCACAGUCGGUCAUAUGUUGGAAGUAGAUAUGAAUUAAGACUGUCAUGGGUUGGCUUGUAGAGGUCUAAGGUGUUGGACAAAGGGCUACAACACUCAUGAGUGCUCAUAAGUUCUGAGUAUUGGAUUCAACCCGCGCUCAUUGGAAUCACUUCAUGGAUUUUAUCACGAGUGAUCAUGAGACGAUAAUAUCUUAUAUUCUUCAAACCUAGAGAUAUGAGUUGUUACUAUGAGUUGGUUGUACAUUGAUUGCACGAAAACGCAUUUGGUAACUCGGUGCUAUAAAACGUGCCUUUGUGUAUGAUUCAACAAGUAGUAGAACAAGCCAUAUGAGUCGAAGUUUAUCCAUUCCUUUUACCUUCGGGAUAAAAGCGAUAUCUGUGGGCCCCUCGAUGAUUUGAUGAUGACAAAUGGAAGUGCUCGGCCGGGCCAGGACUGAUUUGAUUUGUUCAAUUAGUCAGUCGUCAUAAAUCGGAAAUCGGGAAACAACAAAUGGACAGAGAGAAUGAUUAUAAUCCAUGUCUCAGUCCAUAUGAUAUCUAGAAUGGAGGAAUAUAUGAUCCCUUAUCUAAUGGACAAGUUCGUUGACAAGAUCAGAGUUCGACAGCAGCUUUAAGAGCUACGAUUGCCAGUUAGGUUUGAAGUCAUACGCAAUAAUAGUUUUAGACUUAUCCAAGUGGGAGACUGUUGGAUUAAUGUCUAAGUCCAUAACUAUAUUUGGUAUGUACUUGACCCGACCCGGCAUGGUCCAUUUGGGUUGCACUUCACCGACACAAUUUAUAUGGAUAAUCUUUUGAGAAUAGUAUGUUUAUGAUUAAUAUUAAUAUAUUAUAAGUUCUAAUAUAUUAAUAUGGAAUCAUAUUAUUUAAUUAGUAUUGAUCAAGAAUUAAUUUAUAAUUAAUUAAGUGAUCAAAAGGAACUAAUUAAAUAUGGACUCUUAUAUAUAUGGAAUGGGCCAAGUUCAUUUAGGUUGGGCUAAGCUUUCAUGGAUAGUCCAUGGAGUGUUUAACCCAUGGAUCCUAGGAAAUGAAAGGUCAUGGGUAUUAGGGUUUAACCCUAAUCCUCCAUACUAUAUAAAGAUGUCUUUGGUUGGUGAAAUUGGCACUAGUGUGGAUACACUAAAGAAGGGCUAGCCAAUUUCACUAGAGAGAACCAAGUAAUCAUAUUCUCUAAAGUAUUCCAAGGUGUCUUGGUGAUUUGUGAUUCCACUUGAGGCUUCCACACUAUUGGGGCUAAGCUCUUAAAGCUUGAAGACAUCAAGCUACAUCAAGAGGUAUGUAUUCUAUCUUGUUACAUUCAUAGUUUUUGUAUGCUAGAUUAGGAUAAUACCUUGGAUGUUCUUAUUUGCAUGUAUAAUAGAGAAAACAUAGAUCCAAGGUAUUUAGGGUUUCAUGUACACUUAGGAAGUGUUAGAAUGCUCAAAACCCAACACGUAAUUCUAGUACGCCCCACGUACUGGGCUGAGGUCCCCGAUCAGAUUUGUGGAUGAUUGAGUACGCUGAGCGUACCAAAGGAGGUACGCCCCGCGUAACCCCUCUGUGGGCUUUUGGGCUAAGUGAUGUGUUGGGCCUGGGGUUCGGGCUUCACACAAUAGAGCAUUGGAUCAAAGAAUCAUAUGUAUGUGCUUUGGGCCCUUGGGUUGGGAUUGCCUUUUAGUUUGGGGUUUUGGGCUGUGUGAGGGUCCAUUUAUUAUUGGGCCUUGGUGGGCUCAAUGGGUUCAGGGCAUUAAUGGGCUGGUAAGUGGUCUAUCUUUAGACCCAAAUAGUGAGAGUUUGGACUUAGCUCCUAAUUGAGAUAAUUAUGGGUUUGGGACAGAGUUAGAGGCCGGUGCGUGGCAGCAGUGUUUAUAGGAGCUGUUCUUUAUCUGAGGCGAGUCUUCUCACUAUACUUUACCUUGAGUGGUAGUUAUGUGUGACCGGAAGGUCUUAUGUGCUUACAUUGGGUAUUAUGUUAUCCUAUUGUUUGUGACAUGCUAUGCAUUAUGUCUUUGUGAUUUAUGCUAUGCGGAGUUUAUAGACUGGACCGAAGGGUCCAACGAUUUAUGAGGCCGGAAGGCUUAAGAAGACCGGACCAGAGGGUCCAACGAGCUUAGGACCAGAGGGUCCACAGUGUUAGGUCCAGAGGGUCCACAGAGUUAGGACCGGAGGGUCCACAGAGUUAGGACCGGAGGGUCCAUAGAGUUAGGACCAGAGGGUCCACAGAGUUAUAGCCUUGAGUGGCUAAUAUGUGUUCUAUGUGGUAUUUUGGGGAACUCACUAAGCUUCAUGCUUACCGUGUUAUGUGUUAUGUGUUUCAGGUGUUCUUGUCUGGAUCGCAGGACGGCACCGACUUGAUUGUACACACGAGAGAAAGAGUUAAGAGGAUCCUGGAUUAAUAAUGGAGUUGUGCUUUGUAAUUAAAUAAAAGAGAUUUUUAUAAAGAUAUGUUAUGAAGAGUAUGCAUUUUAAAAAUGAAAAAUUGUUUUAAAUUUUCACGUCGUUACACCAUUAAUAUAGGAUCUAGUUCAGUCGUCUUCAUUGUCAUCUUGAUGGCUUAAAGUGAUCUUGAUAUUACCCUACAAAUAAUAUUUGUUUACAAGUCUGAUUCUUUACAGGUAUCAAAGAAAAUAUCAUCAUGCAACACGAUGAAUCUCGUAUCAAUUCCUUGAAUAACUCAAGCAGUAUUGGAUCAACAACCAGGAUCCCGAUUCUCUUUCCGCAUGAAUAUGAAGUUUGGGUGCUUCACUUUGAAGAAUAUGUUCUCGGUUCAGACGACAAUGGCUAUUUAAUAUGGGAAGCCAUUACUUUUGGUCCAUUCGUUCAUACAGAGACCAAAAGAACUAUCAAAACUCAGAAGGAAUACAACCAGCUGCUCCUUGGUGUGAAGGAUGUUCCUCAGGACAAGAAAGAGAAACUAAUCAGCAACGUCAAAGCAAUGUGGAUCAUUAGUGUAACACCCAAAGUCUUGAAAGCCCAGAAAGUAAAGGAAACCCUAGAUUUAAGGGGGACUCGGCGAGUCCAAGGAGGAACUCGACGAGUCCAAGCGGGAUCCGAGUCGAGGAGUAAGUGACCAACUCGGCGAGUCGGCCAAGGCGACUCGGCGAGUAGGGUCUGUGCGAGGAAAACCCUAAAUCCGGGGAUUGGAACCUAUUUAAUCGUCUGAUUCUUCUUCCUAGGGAUCCUUUACUGUCUCUCACACACAGAACGCCGCACCCUAAGCCUCCAUUGUGCUCACUCAAGCUUUUAGCCAUUUUUUAGUGGUUUUAAGGAAGAAGAAGAAGUGGGAAUCUUUGAAGCAUCAAGGAGUGGCCUUGGAUCCGAAGUUUGGGGAACAUUUCUGAGAAUUUGAAGGUAUUAAGUCGUUCCUCUCCUUUAGAUCUUCUUUGGUUAUGAGUUUUGGGGCUUUUAAGCCAUGUCUAAGAUCAAUCUCGAGCUUGAGGUCCAGAUCUGAGGUUGCUACCUCAGAUCCAUGCUUGUUUUGGUUUAGAAUCCCNUGUAAAGUAUCAGCCAUCGAGUGGAUUUUGGAGCCUCUUGGUCUUAAACCCUAGUUCAUGGUGUAUUUUGCCUAGAUCUCCCUCUCUACACGUCAAGUUUGCAACUUUACAUGGGGGAUAGGAUUGGGAAGGGUAGAUCUACAGUUUGGAGUCCAUGCAUGACUCGAAAGUCCUCUGCAUGUAUGUAGAUCUGAAUGGACUCGGCGAGUCCUUCGAGUGGACUCGGCGAGUAGUUUGAAGACGAGGAGGAACUCGACGAGUGGGAUGAACAGAUCGUUAAGUCGGAUGAAGAUGGGCAUGAACUCGAUGAGUUGGAUGAACAACUCGGCGAGUUGGAUGAAGAUUUCCUUGUGCUCGGCGAGUCAGCUCUUGGACUCGACGAGUCAGGUCGCGUAGUCCCAAACCCCUCGAGUUAAGAAUUGAGUCAGCGAGUCGAGCAAGGACUCAGUGAGUUGGACAGGACAGGGAUCGGGAAUCAGUAGACUCGCGAGUCAGGGGCUGACUCAGCGAGUCAUGUCGCGAAUGGAAGGACCCUGAGUAUGUGAACUCGGCGAGUCAGUUAGUGGACUCGGCGAGUAGGGUUGACCUGGAAGGUUGACUUUGACCAGGACUUUGACUUUGACCAGAGUUGACUUGGUUGUCUUUCGGGGGUCAGUUAGACUCAGUGUUGCAUUGAUAUUGGUAGCUCGGGGAGCGAGUGGAGCAGGAGUUCAGAGAGUUGUCGGGCAGCAGCUAGUGGGUUCAUCAGCCAGUUCAGCCAGUGCAGGUGAGUUUCCCUUUGUAUGAAUGGGUCUACGGCCACAAUGCCGGCCCAUGUAGUUAUGAGUAGAAGACCCGGGGGUUAGCCCUAGGCACAGUAUGCUAGUAUGAUAUUCGGGACGAGGUCCAAUGAUAGAGGGCGGGUGCCCAAGGAAUGGUUUAUGUGAUAGUUUAUACUUGUUGUCUGUGUGAUACUUGUAUGUGCCUGGUAGGGAGGUGAGUGUGGGCGAGGUCCCGUAUCUCACCAAUAGCAGAGUGUGGAUGGUGUUCCACAUCUCAGUAGCAGCAGAUCAGGGGCGAGGCCCAAGUUAGGGAAGGAGUGAGGGUGGGCUGGGCCCGUACCUCACUAUCAGCAGGAGUAUGGACGGGGUUCCAUGACUCAUCAGUAGCAGGACAAGGGCGGGGCCCAGAGAUAGGCGAGGCCUUAGGACAAGAUCCGUUAGUAUGUGUUUAGCUUAUGUGAUGUGAUGUGAUAUGUUUAUGUGCUAUUAUAUGUUAGUGGGCGAGGCCCUGUGACAGGCGAGGCCUAAGUGAAACAGAUCUGUAUCCGAGCGGGGCUCGAAGCCAGGCGGGGCCUGGAGCGGCGGGACUGUUGUAGCGGGCGAGGCCCAGGAUAGCAAGCGUGGCCCAGUAUGUGUAGUGUGCGGUUAUGCGCAUGGUAUGUGGUAGGGUGGGGAACUCACUAAGCUUCGUGCUUACGGUUUUCAGUUUUGGUUUCAGGUACUUCCGGUAGUGGAUGAUGGAGCUCGGAUGAUCGCAUGGCACACACCAUAGUUUAGACAGCCUGGGGAUGUUUACUCUGAUAACGAAUAUGUAUUUUGGAAACUAAUACUUUGUUAUGUUUGAAAACGAUGAAUUUACUUAACGUAAUAUUUUAUUAAAAGAAAUUUUUGGUCUUAAAUUUUCGGACGUUACAAGUUGGUAUCAGAGCCUUGGUUUGAGGGAUUCGGGUGUACUCUCGGGUGUGCUUGAACUCAAACUGAGGGGUCGGAUAAAAAGUUUUCAGAAAUGAAAAGACAGUUUUGUAAAAAGAAUUUUGAGGACGAAGAACAGUUUUAGAAAAGCAAAAAGAAUCCAGAAAGAGGAGAAUUUUGAAAAGAGAAAAAGGGGUGUGGUGCAUGCAAUCAGUCGAGCUCAAGUAAGUACCCCAAAAUACCCAUACAAGUUUAUGUUAUGAUUAUCAGUUGAUAGAACAACAUGCUAGAAUAGGACUAAGGAUCUAGGGAUGAUGCCUUAUGUGCCUGUUAUUUGUGCUUUUGAGCUGCAUGAUAGUGCUGAUUAGACAGUAGUAGGAUAGCCUGUUUAGGUUAUGCCUGAGUUUAUGAGUUUGUGUUGCAUGCUAGUUCAGAUUCUUGCUAUGUGGAUAUGAUUGCUUGAGUAUGUUGUGGUUAGAUUUUCCCCUUGUUCGAAUGUUGCUUGCUUUGUGCAUUGUGGGAUUUUGAGUGAUGGGAGUUAGCCAUUAGGUGGAUACGUCACGUCACAUGUGAUCAGGGUUGAAUAAUCUCAGAGUGUUGGAUUUUUUCCUAUUGCGUAGCUCUUGUCUGAUUCCAACUGUUGUAGGAACGAGUCUUUUACUUGAAGGAUUAUCUGAGCCUCGUCACAUGUGACGGUAUCCAGGUGAUGGCUAAUUGGCAUCCCAAGGAGACCUUCAGCAGCUGAGGACUGGUUUGAGUUGAGUCAGAGGUUUCCCUAGGGUAAGCCUAGGAUGAGGUAGUGUUGGGAGCAGUAUUAGUGGAUAAGGGACCUGGUGGAGUCGAAGCAAUUCCUGAGGAAAGUACGGAUAGAUGUGGAAGGUAGUAUGGGCCCGUACUACUGAAAGCAGAGGAUCCGUACUCGAUUCGGGAAAGGCCGAGACAAGACCGGGAACCUGGUAGGGUAUGUUUGGUCUCGCAUCAGUGAUGAGUAUUCUGAUAGUGGUUGUGGUAUAUUUUCAGCAUGGUGACAUUGCGAGAGAGACCAGCGGGCGGAUCAGGCGCCGGAGAGGGAUCAGGCUCGGGUUCAGGGGCCGAGCAGCUCGAGGAGCGAAUGAGGGAGUUGAUAUCCGCCGAGGUUGCGCGCAGUAUGCUAGAUCAGACUUCUGUGAUCUUUGGCACGGUCAAGGAGGUUAUACUGGAGAUUUUGGAAGAGAGGCUGGGAGCCUUCCGUAUCGAGAUGAUGGCUUUGCUGGGAGCGCGUACCUUGACAUUUCGAGAGUUCAGGGCCUGUGGGGCGCCAGAUUAUCAUGGGGCUAGGGACCCCAUUACUAGCAGCAGAUGGUUGGCUGAUGUUGCCAACGCUUUUCGUACGAGCAAGUGUCCCGAGGGGGACAAGGUUAGACUCGCCUCCUGUCUUCUGAAGGACAGAGCGAGGGAUUGGUGGGAGGAGAUUGGUCAUGCUUUGGGGGAUGAUGCCGCGUUGGACGCGAUGACUUGGAGCGAUUUCUCGGCCAGGUUCAGGGCGGAGUUUUCGCCGAUUAUUGAGGUGCAGCAGCUGGCACGAGAGUUUCAGGAUUUGACGCAGACUACUGAGACUGUGGCGGAGAUCACCGCCAAGUUCAGGGAGAGGGCUCUUCUUGUACCGCAGUAUGUCGCGGAUGAGGAGAUGAAGAAGGCCCGAUACCAUGAGAUGUUGAGGGCCGACAUCAGGGAGUUCGUGAGCAGGUCCAGUUGUAAGACGCUGGAAGAUAUGAUUUCUCGGGCUAGAGAGAGGGAAAUUGAUUUGGAGCAGAUCCGGAAGAGGAAGCCGGAUGAGGUUCAGGUAGCUACGGGUUCGGGCAAAAGGCCCAAGGGAUCGGAUUCGAGAUCAAGGGAUCAUCAGGACCGCAAUCGGUGCGGAAAGUGUGGCAGGGCACACGGGGGCGCGUGCAGGAGUGGUAGCGGCGGUGAGUCUGGCUGCUUCAAGUGCGGUUGGAAUGGUCAUUUUAGCAGGGAUUGUACUGNNNNNNNNNNNNNNNNNNNNNNNNNNNNNNNNNNNNNNNNNNNNNNNNNNNNNNNNNNNNNNNNNNNNNNNNNNNNNNNNNNNNNNNNNNNNNNNNNNNNNNNNNNNNNNNNNNNNNNNNNNNNNNNNNNNNNNNNNNNNNNNNNNNNNNCAGCGGGGCCACAAGAAGGCCCAGUGUCCCAGUUUGUUUUCGGCAGGACGGGUGAUGGCACCCGCCCCUGCAACCUUGAGGAUCACGGAUGGCCGUCAGGGCCGGGUAGAGGCACCUGCAGCAGGGAGCAGGGCUUUUCAGAUGACGACCUUAGAGACGCGAGCAACGCCGGACGUUGCAGGUAUGCAAUUUCCCAUUUUCAGUUCUUUUAUUUGUGCAUGAUUUUAUUGUUUGGUUCUGCAUCAUUAUCGGUAAAAGUAUUUUAUUUUGAGUGGUUGAUUGUGAUUGAGUUAUAUGCCAUCUGCAUAGCUUGGAUAUUGGAUUGGUAGUUAAGGGAUGGGUUCUAUUGGAGAAGGUUGCCUAGGAUGCAGUAAUUGUAGCAUGUCUGGGAGGGAUUUGGUAUGUCUCGCUAGAUCGGAGUCGUAUAGUGUUAGAGAUGGAUUGGUUAGAUCCCUAGCUAUGGUGAGCUUGGGUUCCUCAGAAGAUCGAUUAUGGAAUGGUAGCAAGGUUUGGGAUUUCUUUUUGAGUAUUGAGCAAGAAGGGGUAAGCAGGAUCGAAGUGGGGGAGAAUCCUCCAAGUGUGCAAAGGUAGGAGCACGCAGACCCAGAAUGAGUACGUGACCUCCGAGAAGAAAAGAAGUAGUUCAGCGUUUGAUGGUUUGAGGAUUCAGGGUUGGGAGUUUGAGAAACUCCCCAUCAGUUAUUGCGUGUGUUGGUAAUGGUUAAUGGGUGAUUGGGAAUUCGGGUUGUGGAUCGCCCGAAGGACUCGAGGGAGUCGGAGUGAGGAUCUUGAGAGCUGGUGGCACAUGGGUGCCUUUGUAUUAACAAUCAGUGGUAGGAGGUGAUGUAAGACUACGGGGCAGCCGCAGCAUUCACUAGUAGUUAGUGGUGGAAGUGUUGUAAGACUACGGGGCAGCCGUAGCAUUCAUUAGCAGACAGCAAUGGAUGGUGAUGUAAGACCAUGGGUAAGCCAUAGCAUUCCUUAGUAGCUUCGUUAGCGGAGUUGGGGCGAGGCCCUUAUCUCCUAGUGAUCAGAUAGGGAUUAGGAAUGGGUAGUGGAUGAGAAUGAUAGGGAGUUUGCCUAUAUAGCCCUAGAGAGGUGAGACCUUGGGAGAGGCCGCUCCAGGAUAUAGUUGGGUGAGACCCGUGGGCGAGGCCCGUAUGAGAUUAGCAGUGUAGAUGAGACCUGAGAGCAGGGUUGCUCAGUAGUAUGGUUGGGUGAGACCCGUGGGCGAGGCCCGAGCGAGAGUGAUUAGACUAGUGGGACUAGAAGGAUAGAGGCGGGUGGGACCCGUGGGCGAGGCCCGUGAGUUUUAGCAGCACAGGUGGGACCUGGUAGGGACCUUAGUGUCAAGUUAGGGGAUCGGGGAUCCCAGGUUUGUAGUGCUUGAAUAGCAGAAUAGAUUGAGCAGUUUUAGGGGUUGAAGCUUCUUCGGAAGUCGUUGGGAGCGACUAGUGGUGGUGUUGGGACUAGCUACCCGGGGGGGGCGGNGAUAGGGUGGUAGAGACCAGGGUGGUCUCAGUUCGUCCGAAGUCAGAAGAGGAGCAGCAGAAUUGCCAGUCAGUGGCAGUGCGAGUAUGCAGCGUAUAGUGGGAUUCAGUUAGUUGAUCGUGAGGUGCUCGGCACCAAACCAUAGUAGAAAGAAAUGCCCAGUGGAUACUGGCGAUAAUGACCCGUACUGGUAAAAGCGGGGGUGAUGGAGUUGGUGGAGGAUAGGGCCUUCACAAUGUCAGAAGGAAUAGUUAGUUAUGGGGUUUUGCCUUGGGAAGGCAAGGAAUUGUGCAUGAAGAAGAAGGGGUGAAUCCCUAUGGAUUCAGUGCAGUAUUCAGAGGGUACCCGAAGGAUUGUCGGUUGAGUAAGUUGUGCUUCCAGAAGGUUCAGGGUCAGGGUAGACCCAGGAUUAUUAUCUGUAAGGAUUAAUGUUAGUUGGAACGACCUAGCUAAAGGCUAGCGAAGGUAGGCAGCGGGUGUUGGAAUAAUGGGUUGGGUAUUGAAAGCAGACCGCGGGCGGUGGGCCAUAGCAAACUUCGAGGACAAAGUUUAGAUUAAGUGGGGGAGAGUUGUAACACCAAAAGUCUUGAAAGCCCAGAAAGUAAAGGAAACCCUAGAUUUAAGGGGGACUCGGCGAGUCCAAGGAGGAACUCGACGAGUCCAAGCGGGAUCCGAGUCGAGGAGUAAGUGACCAACUCGGCGAGUCAGCCAAGGCGACUCAGCGAGUAAGGUCUGUGCGAGGAAAACCCUAAAUCCGGGGCUUGGAGCCUAUUUAAUCGUCUGAUUCUUCUUCCUAGGGAUCCUUUACUGUCUCUCACACACAGAACGCCGCACCCUAAGCCUCCAUUGUGCUCAUUCAAGCUUUUAGCCAUUUUUGAGUGGUUUUAAGGAAGAAGAAGUGGGAAUCUUUGAAGCAUCAAGGAGUGGCCUUGGAUCCGAAGUUUGGGGAAAAUUUCUGAGCAUUUGAAGGUAUUCAGUCAUUCCUCUCCUUUAGAUCUUCUUUGGUUAUGAGUUUUGGGGCUUUUAAGCCAUGUCUAAGAUCAAUCUCGAGCUUGAGGUCCAGAUCUGAAGUUGCUACCUCAGAUCCAUGCUUGUUUUGGUUUAGAAUUCCGUAAAGUAUCAGCCAUUGAGUGGAUUUUGGAGCCUCUUGGUCUUAAACCCUAGUUCAUGGUGUAUUUUGCCUAGAUCUCCCUCUCUACACGUAAAGUUUGCAACUUUACGUGGGGGAUAGGCUUGGGAAGGGUAGAUCUACAGUUUGGAGUCCAUGCAUGACUCGAAAGUCCUCUGCAUGAAUGUAGAUCUGAAUGGACUCGGCGAGUCCUUCGAGUGGACUCGGCGAGUAGCUUGAAGACGAGGAGGAACUCGAUGAGUGGGAUGAACAGCUCGUCGAGUCGGAUGAAGAUGGGCAUGAACUUGACGAGUUGGAUGAAGAUUUCCUUGUGCUCGGCGAGUCUGCUCUUGGACUCAACGAGUCAGGUCGCAUAGUCCCAAACCCCUCGAGUUAAGAAUCGAGUCAGCGAGUCGAGCAAGGACUCGGUGAGUUGGACAGGACAGGGAUUGGGAAUCAGUAGACUCGGCGAGUCAGGGGCUGACUCGGCGAGUCAUGUCGCGAAUGGAAGGACCUGAGUAUGUGAACUCGGCGAGUCAGUAAGUGGACUCGGCGAGUAGGGUUGACCUGGAAGGUUGACUUUGACCAGGACUUUGACUUGGACCAGAGUUGACUUGGUUGACUGCCGGGGGUCAGUUAGACUAAGUGUUGCAUUGAUAUUGAUAGCUCAGGAAGCUAGUAGAGCAGGAGUUCAGUGAGUGGUCGGGCAGCAGCUAGUGGGAUCAUCAGCAAGUUCAGCNUUCAGCCAGUGCAGGUGAGUUUCCCUUUGUAUGAAUGGGUCUACGGCCACAAUGCCGGCCCAUGUAGUUAUGAGUAGAAGACCCGGGGGUUAGCCCUAGGCACAGUAUGCUAGUAUGAUAUUCGGGACGAGGUCCAAUGAUAGAGGGCGGGUGCCCAAGGAAUGGUUUAUGUGAUAGAUUAUACUUGUUGUCUGUGUGAUACUCGUAUGUUCCUGGUAGGGAGGUGAGUGUGGGCGAGGUCCCGUAUCUCACCAAUAGCAGAGUGUGGAUGGAGUUCCACAUCUCAGUAGCAGCAGAUCAGGGGCGAGGCCCAAGAUAGGGAAGGAGUGAGGGUGGGCUGGGCCCACACCUCACUAUCAGCAGGAGUAUGGACGGGGUUCCAUGACUCAUUAGUAGCAGGACAAGGGCGGGGACCAGAGAUAGGCGAGGCCUUAGGACCAGAUCCGUUAGUAUGUGUUUAGCUUAUGUGAUGUGAUAUGAUAUGUUUAUGUGCUACUAUAUGUUAGUGGGCGAGGCCCUGUGACAGGCGAGGCCCUGUGACAGGCGAGGCCUAAGUGAAACAGACCUGUUUCUAGAUACGAAUCUUAAUUAAACGACCUAAAAUUCACUUUUUCAAACAUAAGUGAUAGUUUAAAAAGGACUCGUUUGAAAAACUCUAACCUAACUGAUCAAAUCAACAGGUUUUUGUCGACAAGUGAUGAGAGGCGAAUGUGGAUUGAGAAGAUCGAUUCGGAGUUGUCUAAGUAUAGGAAUCAAUUAAUUUACUUGCAGCGAGACAAUUUAAAGCUUUUAAUACAACAUAACUUUUCUAUUUGAUUGCUAUAAGGCUUUAUUUUAACAUUACUCAAUUGCACCUUGAUUGUGGAAUUGGUGAGAAAAUUCAUAAGAUGAUCUUACCAUUUCUUGAAUUAAAGGAAGAUGAGAUAGACGUUGAUUGUUACAAAUGUGAAUCCAUAGUUUCGUUAGACGAAACUUCUGAAGCAUACAGGGUUGGACUAGAACGAAUUAAAUCAUACAUUAAGUCCAAAGACCACAAAAAUAUGUUAAAACAACUUUUGGAUGAAAACGAUAAGAAACAAAUCAAAUCCGAUACUAUACAGAAAUUCGACUCAUUGAGUGCCAAAUUGAGUUCAGAAAAUAAGAUAAAUGUUGAAAGCAUAUCUGAAUUCGAUGAGGACAAUGAUAUGAGCGAAAUUUCUGUAGAGGAUGUGGUGGAUUGCUUAGAGUUCAUUAAAAACAAACCUCAACCUGCGAAAGAUUUGAUCUUUGAAAAUUCGGUUGAAUUCGCAUGCAUUUCUCAAAAUAAACCAAAAAUAUUAAAAGCGAAAGCGACUGUUUUCCCUAAUUACCAAACUGUACCUAAUCAAGUGUUUUCCACUGAAGGACUGGACAAGAAUCAAACUGUCGAACUAACAUCCAUCGUCAACGAAGACAAUAAAGAUGGUUGUGACGAGUUCUUUUGGUCCGCUCCUAUAGAUAAUGCAAAUAAAACAAAAGGGUUUGUCUGAAAGAACCUCAUGGAGAGUGAAAGGAAGAUAUGUGGAAGAACCACUAAACAAUCGUUCCAGCUAUGAGGAAGGAAGUCCAAAUGGAACAAAGGAAAGUCCAAGCGAGCCUCAGUCAGCAAAGGACGAAUCUUAUGCAAGAAAACCGCAACCUAAAGUGAAUAUUCACAAGUCAACUGAGCAACUUUCGGAGCAAAAAAGUUUAAGAAAUCGGAGAUAUAAGAGUAAUCUCAAUGAGAGGAAGCAAUUUUGGCAAUCCCAAAGUUCCAACUAUGUUCGCAGAGAAAAUCUUCCAAUCAGAGUGCGAAAGCUCGUUCGCAUGCGAAUCCUAGUCAAUGUUCGCACUGUCAUUCUUGCAAACCAAAAAGGAACUUUGCUCAAAAACCGUCUCUUUCAAAGAAGCCCAUUGAGAAACCAAAAUCUCAUCCCACGAAAGCAUCACCCAAAGAUGUCAAGGGAAAGGGAAAGUUAGUCUCGGAUUCUGAAGCUUCAAUCAAGAAAUCGACUACUAACCCUAAGAAAAUUAAGAGGGAAUUCGUCAAGAAUCAAGUCAAAAAAAAAUCAAUCUGAUUCUAAAGAAACAAAAAUGAAAAAUAAUCAGAUAAAAGUUUUCACAAUAAUAAAGAAAGAUGAAACCACAUUUGUUAAACGAACAUAUAUGGUUGAUCUUGUAAUCACUUUUCCCUCUUCUGUAAAAGGCUCAUGAGGACCCAAUAAACUUUGGGAUCCUAAAUCUGCUUGAUUUUUGCAGGCAUUUCGUGAUGAAAAGUUUGACUCUAAAUGGUAUAUCGAGAGUGGUUGCUCACGUUACAUGACAUGGAGGAAGGAGGAACUGCAUGAGUUUCAAGCUCUCUAAGAUGGUAGAAAUGUAUAGUUUGGAAACAACUCGUUUGGGAAGAUCAAAGGCUAUGUGAUGAUAACUAACAGAGAUUUUUUGAUUCAUAAGGUGGCGUAUGAGGAAGGAUUACAACACAACCUAAUUAGUGUUUUACAACUAGUUGUUGGGACUGGCUUGAAAGUAUCCUUUGACGAUGAAGGAUCUGAGAUAGUAGAAAAGAAAACGAAAGUAGUUCUCUUAAAGUCACAACAAAAAUGGGAAAUGUAUCCUUUGAAUCUAAACCCAAUACGAGGGAAGCUUUCCAUAUGCUUACUUGCGAAAGCUCAUUCUGAUGAGAGCUGGUUGUGGCAUAGAAGACUUUCGCACCUCAACUUCAAAGACAUCAACAAGCUUGUUCUUGGCGAUCAUGUGAGAGGGCUUCCUCUCUUGAAAUAUGAUAAGGAUCAUUUGUGUAUAAUCUUUGAGAUGGGGAAGAAAAGUAGGAAAAUUCAUCCAACCAUUGUAAACACGAAAGCCAGUGAACCACUGGAACUACCCCAUAUCGACCUUUGUGGACCUUCUGCAAUUGAAAGCAUUGCUGGUAGUAAGUAUGUUCUUGUAAUAGUUGAUGAUUAUUCACGUUUCACUUGGGUGUAUUUUCUUAAACAGAAAUCUGAAGCUACACCAAAACUCAAGGAGUUCAUAAAGCAAACUGAGCUUCAACUGCAAAAGUUCGUUCGCAAUGUUCGCAACAACAAUGGGUUGGAAUUCAAGAAUCAAGAAUUCGAAGAAUUUUUAGCUGAAAAGGGAGUUUCACACAAUUUCUUUGCUCCCUAUUCGCCACAACAGAAUGAUGUAGUUGAAAGGAUAAACCGUUCUUUGUGUGAAGCUGCGAGAACCAAGCUAUCCUUCGCAUGUCUGCCUCUAUAUUUCUGGGCGGAUGCGAUUGCAACUGCUUGCUACACUCAAAAUUGAUCCAUCUUGAAUAAGCGAUUCUCUAUCAAUCCCUACAAAAUCAUAAAUAAUUGUAAACCUAAUAUCAAGUUUUCCAUGUAUUUGGUUACAUGUGUUUCAUUUUCAACUCCAAGGAACAAUGAAACAAUUUCGAUGAGAAAGCUGACGAAGGUAUACUUUUAGGAUAUUCGCUGACUUCCAAGGCAUAUAGGGUUCUCAACAAAAGUUCAAAGAAAAUAUAGGAAACCUACUAUGUUACCUUCGAUGACAAUUUCUUGAAGAGGAUUUAGUUCAAAGAGAAUCAAGCAGGGGAAAUAUUUCCUAAGCCAAGUCCAACCAAUAUUUCAUUCUCAAAUCUGUAUGACGAACUCAUGCUACUCUUCGAUGAGCCAGAGAAGGCUAUUACAUCUGAAGUGAAAGCAGCUGACAACAAGGUAGAUGAAUUGAAGAAGAUAAUCGAUGAUGCUGCAAAAGACAUGCACGAUCAGCUAUCAACUGUGAAAGUACAUCAAGGCACGAGUACUAUAUUCCAGGGGGAGAAUUCUGACUCCAAUGCAACUUCUCAGGGGGGGGGGGGCAAUCAGCACCUUAAGGAUACGAACAUUCCAUCACAUGGGGAGGGUUAUACUUCUUUUGACCCAAUGACUCACCUCCCACAAUAACUCAUGAGCCUCCAUUCGUAGGGAUUCCUCAACUCUUGAAGAAGAGGAUCUCUUGUCAUUCGAGGGGGAGAAUAAAGAUGUGAAUGACGAUUCGGAUAUGUAAUCAGAAUUCUAAGAAGUAAAUGCUGAAUUGGAUCCAUCCUAUGAUCCAAAUUAUCGUCCACUAACCAAAUGGACCAGAGAUCACCCGAAAAACCAAGUUAUAGGCGGAUCUUCUACAGGUGUUCUUACGAGAUCUCAUAUAAAAGCGAAACAAACUGCAUUAUUCUCCAAAGUUGAAUUUUGUAUGUUUAACUCAUUCAUUUCCAAGUUUGAACCAAAAACAAUUAAUGUUGCUCUCGAUCAUUCUGAUUGGGUGCAAGCGAUGCAAGAAGAACUCAACGAGUUUAAACGACACAAAGUUUGGAGGCUAAUUCCAACUCCACUAAAUGCACCGGUUGUAGGUUUAAAAUGGGUGUUUCGCAAUAAAAUGUAUAAGGAAGGGAAUGUUAUAAGAAACAAGGUGAGACUCGUAGUAUAGGGAUAUUGUUAGGAAGAAGCCAUCGACUAUGAAGAAACCUUUACACCUGUUGCAAGGUUGGAAUCCGUUCGCAUUUUCCUGGCAUACGCAACACACAAGAACAUCGAGGUGUUUCAGAUGGAUGUUAAAUGCACAUUCUUAAACGGGUAAUUAGAAGAGACUGUAUACGUGGAACAACCACCUGGGUUUGUAAAUGAGAAGUAUCCCAACCACUGCUACAUCUUAGAUAAGGCAAUCUAUGGUCUCAAGCAAGCUCCGAGAGCCUGGUAUGAAACACUUACUCGCUUCCUUAAAAUGUCCAAAUUUAAACAAGGUUCGGUUGACCUGUAACGCCCGCAGAUCCGGGCUAGUCAAUUUAGAAACAAUAAGCAUCAAAAAAUGAGUUUUUGAUGGAAGAUUCUUUAGAAGGAUUAAUCUUAACGAAGUUGUAGUAUAUGUUACAAGGGUUCAGUACAUAUAAAGAACGUCGAAAUCUGAGUUAUAACGAAGAAGUUAUGACCCGUCGAAGUUUUUCGGCAAAACCGACACGGCGCCGGGAGACGUAAAUAAUGAAUUUAUGAUAGAGGACUUUUUAGCCUUAGUAAUCUAAACAAAAGUCAUAGAAUAUGUUAAACUAAGAGCGUCCAUAAAAAUAACGCCCAAAUCUGACUUUGUAUGACGAAGUUAUGAAUUUUCUAACAUUUAGCAUAGCAAUGCACGACCUGAAACUCGAAUUUUAGUUCGAGCGGUUUUUGGCCUACGCAACCUAAAUGAGAGUUGAAUAUCUCAUUAAUAGGAGCUCAAUGGUAAAAAGGCAGAGGAAAACGGAGUCCGUAUGUAGAAGGUAUGAAUUUUACGCGGACGUUUAACAAUAUAAUCUCCUCCUACGGUUAAAUUUAAGAUCGGUCGAGAAUUAACCGACAGAGUCUAAAUGAAAGUUUUAGAUCUUGUUUUUACCUACGCGCAAACAUAACGAAUGUCCAGAGUAGAGCUUGUAUAUUAAAGAUAUGGACGAAACUUGGUCCCUACUCUUCGAGGGCGAUAAAUUCGGUACCGUUUUGUAAAUCUGAAAUAGAAUGAGAAUUAGCUGACGACGUCUAAAUGAAACUUGUAGUACUCGUAAAUACCAACGCGUGGAUAUAAAGAACGUCAAAAAUGGAGUUUGUAUGAAUGAUUUACAAAUUAUAAUAGCAUAUUUACGUAUUAAAAUAAAGUAUAAAUCAUAUAUACGUACACAUAUAUAUACACAAAUGUAUAUAUCAUUAGAAAAGUAUCGACGAUGCGGUUAUUAUAAGACUUGUGUUGAGUACUUUCGACAUUAGUUUAGUACAAAUAUCAUUAAAUCUAUUUAAAAUAGUAUUAUGGAGGCGUGUUUAGUCGUUUAUAUAACUAUAAGGUCAUUAAGUAAUUAUGGAGGGUAGUUUUUGUAAAUUCAAUUACUAUAAAUAAGAGGCUUGGGCUCUCAUAUUUCUUACACCAUUCUCUUGAUUCAGGAGUGUUUCUCUUCUUAUCUUCCGAGCAUUUCGGUCCCUUUUGAUUCGGCUUCUCUUUCAGUAGUUUAUGUAUAGUAAGGUGAGUGCUGAAGCGCUGCACGAAUCUUUCUUAGAAAGAUUUAGCGACGAAGUUCUGCCUUUGCAGAGCCCGACUCCUAGCUAAAACCCCCUUGUAAGUAAGUUAUGCUUACCCUAUUUUAAUAUAGCUUAUAUUUAAAAUUAGUAUUGUUAUUAUGCACUUAUAAUCAAUAUUUGAGCUAUUGUUAUAUAAGUUUCGUUAUAAUAUCUUUUUAACUACUCGCGGUAUGGGGAAUCUGGUUUAAAGGGCCGCAUAGGGUUUUUGGAUUUCAGAAGUGCUAUAUGCCAAAAUGGUCCUGCCCUCCAGUGCUUUAUGUCUGCCCCCUGUCUAUACACAGUGGUUGGAAAGUAUUUUUUAAACGCUUAUAUAAUAACAAUAAGACUAAUAAUUAGUCACGGUAAAUAUUAGACUAAAAUCUAGUGGUAAUAAUACUAGGUUUCGUCGAAGGAAAUUAUUUUAAAGUAAACGAAGCGCUGUCUGAGGAUCGAGUCACCACCUUAUCAAGUGCAUGCAUGGUCCCUCUCAUCUUACACAUAGAUAUGAAGUAUUUUAUAUAAACUACGUGCUAUGUGUGCAUAUUAUCUGUAUAAUUGUUAUCUAUGCUGGAUGAACAAUUUUAUAUAAGUUUUAUAUGAUUUAAACUGUAUAUGUAUUUAUAUCUACAUAAUAUGGUGUGUAAAACAUGGGUAGAUGAAAUAUGAGUUGGAUUAUGAGUUGAGAGGUGAUAUAGACCAUAAGGUAAGAGUGAGAGGUGGACGAUGUGAGAAGCCUUGUUCCCAAAUGUUGGCCCUGUCAUUUAGCAGAGUAUGGAUGACAAGCACGGACUAUUCUAGACAGUCCAGUGGAACACUAGCAGGCUCACAACCUGUAGGUGUUGGGAACAAUGUGUUCACCUGGUGUACUCUAAACCUUGGCGAUCAUGCAGAUCGACUUGAUGCCUAAACCCUGGUGACUAUGUAGACUUAGUGCCUAAACCUUGGCGAUCGUGCAGACUUGAUGCCUAAACCCUGGUGACUAUGAAAACUUAGUGCCUAAACCUUGGUGAUCAUGCAGACUUUAUGCCUAAACCCUGGUGACUAUGCAGACUUGGUACCUAAACCUUGGCGAUCAUGCAGACUUGAUGCCGAAACCUUGGUGACCAUGCAGACUUGGUGCUAAUCCCUGGCGAGUAUUCAGACUUAGUGUCUAUUGUGUAAACCGUGGCAACGAUGGAGUUCAUGCCGAUUCCUUAGGAUGAUCCUUAGGAAUAAAUGAACGAGGAAUAGCUGAUUCUUAGGGUAUAAGAGUAAAAACGAUAAUGGGGAUGGGUAAUUGGGUUGAUUGGUUGAUGUUUAAACAUAAUAAUUAUAUUAUUGUGGGUUGAAAACCCUAUGUCAUCACUAGGUUUCCCAACCUAACCCACUCAGUUUAUUUAAUCACAAGUGUUGAUAUGAAGUCACAUUACACUGAGAGAUUAAGGAGAUAUAAAUCACUAGUGAUAAUGAAUGUAAGUUAUGUUUAUGCUUAUGUUUCUGUAUUGACAAUGACAUCCCAAAUGUUUUAAAAUGAAUAAAAAUACUUUUCUUCGGAAAUGCUUUGAUAACGUAUUUAUCAUGUUUUACUGGGAACAAAUUCCGCAACAUUUUUAUUAAAAGAGGUACUCUAAUUUUUAUAAAGCAUAAACAAAAUCGGUCUUUUCUGGCCGUGAAAAUGGGGAUGUCACAUGACCCAACCUUCUUUCGCAAGAAAGAGGGUGAACACCAAAUUUAUGUUGAUGAUAUCAUUUUCGGUUCUACGAAUCCUAGCUUAACAGUUGAUUUCCGAAAGUUGAUGGAAACUAAAUUUGAGAUGAGCUCCAUGGGUCUAAUUAACUUUUUCCUUGGAUUUAAUAUAAGAUAGGGACCGGAAGGCAUCUUAAUAAAUCAGGAAGCAUAUACGAAGACUUUGCUCUCUAAGUUUGGUAUGAUGGGAGACUCUAAAGUGAAGGUUCCAAUGGCAUUCGAAACGAAACUAACACCAUCUCUGGAAAAACCUGCUGCUGAUAUAACUCUUUAUCGUCAGAUGAUAGGGUCGUUAAUGUAUCUAACAACUAGUAGACCAGACAUUAUGUUUUCUGUUUGUUAUUGUGCUAGGUUCUAAGAAAAUCCUCGCGAACCUCACAUGGUGACCAUUAAUAGCAUUUUCAGGUACUUGAAAUGAACCUCAUCACUUGACAUUUGGUAUCCUACAAAACCAUGCUUCUUCGUACAAGCAUUUUCGGAUGCUGAUCUUGGGGGAUGCAGAUUAGAUAGAAAAAGCACAACUAGAGGAUGUCAAUUUGUCAAUGGAAAGCUUGUUAGUUAUGAAUCUAAGAAACAAACAUGUGUGUCAUUGUCAACAGCUGAAGCUGAAUAUAUAGAUGCUGCCUCAUGUACAUCUCAAGUCGUUUGGAUUCAAAGUCAGCUUCGUAAGUAUGACUUAAGAAUGAAAUGAAUCACACUAUAUUGUGACUCUGAAAGUGCCAUUCACAUUUGUCACAACCCAGUGCAACACUCAAAGACAAAACACAUAGCACUGAGGUAUCAUUUCAUCAAGGAUCACGUAGAAGACAGCAACGUUGAAAUUCAUUUCGUCAGAUCCUCUGAUGAAUUGGAUGACAUAUUCACAAAGGCAUUGCCUGAAACAACCUUCAAUAGGAUCCUUCAAGGCCUAUGAAUGAUGGAAGCUGAAUCUGUUCCAAAAACACUUUCGCACACAUAAUGAUUGCAUUGCGAAUAGGUGCGAACGUUCGCAGUAGUUCGUAGUCCACUAUUCAUUCGCAGUCUACUUUAACACUGCGAAUCGGUGCGAGCGUUUGUAGUAGUUCGCAGUCUAUUGUUCAUUUGUGGUUCAGAUUUUUGAAAUAUCCUUUUGUACUUUGUGUAUAUUAUUACUUAGUUUUUCAAUCUUUUAUGUUUUAAUUAUUUUUCAGAAAAUCUCAAAAAACAAAAAUAUUUUAUUUGUGUUUGUUUUUUUUUUCCGCAAAUCUCAAAACAAUCAAAAAUAUUUUAAGAAGAUCAUGGAGGCACAAAUUCGUAUCUUAUAUUCAUAUGAUGGGGCAGGUAUAAGGUUCUCUAUAUCUGUAUUAGCUAGGUAUCCCUAGAAGCAUGCUGUUGGAUGUUGUCCAAAGCCUUAAUAGACUCUAUGUGAAGCCUUAAUGAAUCAAGUCUACCAUUCAUUUCUUCCCAAACAGGCUGUUACAAUCACAUUAUUCAUGAGCUACCUCACUCUUCUCAUCUUGAGUUAAGAGUUAUCUGCUUUUCCACUCUCGUAUAGCAGAGGUACAGUCGCUUCUUUGGAACCACCUUCUCAUUUCUCCAUUUGCUUUCGCACUCAUAAAUGUAACCCUUGAGACUCUCAGCAAUACCACUGAGGUUUAUGGUUACACAACUUCUGAGUUCUUGAUCUUAGCGUCAUUCACCACGAACUGAGUGAAACCCAAAAUCCAACACACUUACAUGAAUUGACGGUGAACAACUAAAUGUUCUAGAUUUUCACCAUGGAAUUAACGAAAGCCACUUUCGUGUUCUGUACCAAGGAAUCUCUUUAAUGUUACGAGAUCUUUAUGGAGUGUUCCUAUACCAAGUCACUUCUUCCCAUAAGAUCCAAUUUUUUUGAGAUUUUAAACUUUCGUCUAGUCACUAAAUAAUUCCAAGCCUACUCGUUCAACUAACUACACUGGUCACACAACUACUUCAUCCGACAUCCAUACUUAUAUUAAGUUUAGUGUUUGGUUGGAGAUUUAGCCACCCAUUUAACCAAAUUAAAAGAUGCCUUUCAAUGUUUCUUAUCAAACAUCUGAUCGUACUUCAAUGGGAAACCACACAGACAUUUCUUAGUCUCUCUUGACUUCGAAGUUAGUGAUCUAUUCCCGGGAUCAACAGUUUUGUGUCUUGAUAUAGACAUCACGAAAUUCCUUAGAUAUAUUUUGAUUUAUUUCUUUAUCUUUGACACUCUUGCACGAAGAUAAUUGAGAUCUUCCAAAAGUCUUGUUCGUGGUUCUUAAUGUUACUUUUAGGUUUGCGGUUUAACCCAUGUUUCCUAAAACGAACGUUCAUGAUGGAUGGGUCAAAGAAUGUUUAACUGUGAAACGUAGAUGCUGACGCAAGAAUUCCUGAUGAUAAGAAUUCAAAAAGGCUCAUGAAAAUUUGAACGACCAGCUACUUUUUUGUCGUAUGAUACACGGGUAUGGCAUCUACAGUUCUCAAGUCGUACUUUUUCAGGCGACAUUUCAGAAAAUGAUGCAUUCUCUCUCUGGAUUUUUUCACAAAUCGAGUCGUAUAUAAAGAUUUUGACGAAUCUUCUCUCAUUAUCACUUACAAAAUCUUCUCAAGAGAUUUCUGGUGAUUCAAACUUCUACUGUUCAUCUUCUUCACUCUCAAGCAUCAACAAUGGCAGGUUCUUUAGAAAAUAUUUCCACUCAAGAUCAAACAGUUCAUUCAUCACUACUGGCUGUCAAACAAAAUCAGAAAUUGGUGUUUGAUCUCGAUCCUUGCAGGUACGACGCCUUCAUGAUUCCUAUAGUCGAGUGUUUGAAAUACUCUAUUUUGACCAUUAUGCUCUCCAAGAUGGAGAAUGUCCCAUUAUCACUUCUCUCUAAAGCUUACUCAUCAGCUCUUUAUAUCAAGGAAGAACAAAGAAUCAAGUUUGAAAUCCACAACAGUACCACCUCCAUCACCAAAUAUCGCUUCUGUUCUCUUCUAGGGCUUCCUCAAACAGAAGUUAUGAUUAACCCAGAAAUGGUUACUAGUGCUACUCUCAUUGAGAUGUUCUACCAGAUGGGUUACAAGGAAACCUUAACCGACGUCUCGAAGUUCUAGAAACCCAACUUGCCUCCACAGUGGAAUAGUCUAUUCACUUUGCUUUUCAAGGGUUUUUUUUGAAAGGGUGACGAGGUCAGAUUGUGCAAGCAAGCUAUUCAUGGCGAUUCUCUACGGCCUCUACACAGGUUCUAAUCUUGACUAUGGCUCUGUUCUUUAGGCUCAAGUAAUUCAGAGCACACUCUCUACUACACGUCACAGUGAAAUCUCCUGUGCACGUUUUUGUACUAUCAUUGUCGAAAGGGCCAUUGACCAGCUCCAAAUCCCACUGAUGUAAGAUGCAUUGAUGGCAUCUAUCUCCACGUUUCACACCACUGGCAUCAUCGUCUCUGACAUUUCGAAGUUUUCUUUCAUUGGCUCUAUUCCGGAAGCCAUGUUUCAUGAUGUUCCAUCUUCUAGCAAAAUCCUGUAGGGCUAUAGGAAAUUGGCUCCAUCUGGGGCUCGUCCUUUAACCCUUGAAAUGUAAACAAUAAUCGCUGAGGUAGAUAAACCCACGAAAGGGGAAAGGGUGCGAAGAGGGGAGAAAAGAAAUAUGCUAAUAAAGAAGGACCUUCUGGGCAUGUGAACACACCAAAGAAGCAAAAAGCAAAAACCGCUUCUUCUACUGCUGCUCCAAAAAGGCGGAAGCAGCCUGUUCGCAAGAAAGACCCCCACACGAAGUGAAAGAGAAGAUGAGUCUGAUACUCAGUCCGAUAUUCGCAUAGAGGAGGAUCAUCCCGUUUGCAAUGAGGAAGUUCGCAAUGAGGAUGUUCGCAAUGAGGAGGGUGACAACACUCACACUAAGGAACCGAAUCACAUUCCUGAGGUAACUCUAACUUUUAAUGAUUCUGUUCCUUCUCCUCCUCCCUCACCUAAAACCACUUCAAUCCCAAUUAUUAUUAUGCCAUGCCCUUCACCAGUUUCCUCACAACAACAAACAUGUAUUCCUCUUUCUACUCCUUUGUUCACAGAUUCUACUGUCCCACCAAGCACCUCCACUGAACCUCUUGUUUCGGUCAACAUAUCUAAUACGGGGGCUAAAAGAUCAGGUUUCUCAACCCAUGUCUUACUCUAAUUUCCCCCAUUUUCCAAGAUGAUCCAGAUAUGGUCUUUGGGGAUGAUGAUGAUACUGAUGAAGCUCUCGGAGGAUUCACCUAUAGUCCAUUCCAAAUUAGGAUUGAAAGUAAGGACGAGCCAUCUGCUACGAAAGAGUAACUGAAGUCCAUGCAUGAAAAGAUAGACCAAUUGCUUCUUGCUUCCAAGGCAUCAUGUUCUGAUGCUUAUUCUAAAGCAUCAGUUGAGUCACUAUUUGAACGGGUAACGAAAGCGCAUGCGGCCAAUACAGAAAAGAUGAAUAAGGCUAUUGGUGAUUCUGCUGAAGUUUGCAAGCUGACGACCGAAAAAGUCGAUAAACUAAUUUUUGAGACCACUUCGUUCACGGAGAACUUUCAGACAACCUUCAACAACAAUACAAAGAUUGUCAAUGAGUCUAUGCAAAAUAUGGGUUCUCUCUUCAAAAAUGAGAAGGCUAAGUUACAAGAGAUUCGCACAGCUCUCCAGUCUGAUCACAAAGCAUUUCAAACAUCCAUCUAUUCUCAGAUUUGCAACCUUCAAAAAGAAUUGGUAAUGGAGAGUAAAAUUAUGGACUCUUUUGCCAUCAAAACUGAACGAGUGAAGGUUCUCUCAGUUAAGCUCGAAAAUGCUAAGAAAAACGUUCAAGAUUUGCUCACUGAGAGGUCUAUAACAAAAAGCUGUAUAUCUGAUAUUGCAAGCUUACUCUCAUAUGUCAUUGAAACAAGAGACUACAUGAUCACCAUGUCUAUCCGGAAGCAUCUAAAUGAGAAGUUAAGGCCAGUGUUCGCAAAGCUUCACAAACUGCAGGGUGUUUCAGAUGAAACCUUUGUUCUAAGACAAGGGGUAGAAGGUGGGUCAACUGUUAUAACAAGAAAAGAAGGUCCUAAAGCUCCAACUAAUCCAGUUGUCAAACAAGAACCUACGGGCAAGGAAAAACUGUUUGAAGAUGAACCCAUCGUUGACAAUAGUGAAGAUGAAGAGGAGCUAGAUGAAGAUGAGCUCAAAAGACGAAAGGUCCAUGAAUCCGAAUUGGAUGAGAACAACUAAAUCAUUUGUGAAGCUGAUGAAAAAGAAAGGGAUGAUAAAGAAGCUUAAGCCAUACUUCAGAGCAGAAAGAUUUUGUUUCCUAUGUGGACCUUGAAACGUAUCCAUCAUGAUGCUGUUGAUCUUCCCAGCCAGUAUUGGUUAGAGCCAGUUGUGUCGUUUGAUCUUCAAAACACACAAGAUUCCUAACUGGAUAUACCAAUCACUCCAAAGGCUUUCAGGUUUCGUGCUUUUGUGAAUAUCGUGAAAGCUCCAAUCAUAGACAGUGGAGUAGACCAUAUGUAAUUUUCUUUCUACCUAAAGCACAUGAAGCCCCAAUAUGAAACUUGGAGUGCUAGCAAAUUAACUGGUGUGAAAGUCAUAGGGUUGAUUGAGACUGAUAGUUUUCCCAAUGCAAAGUUUAAAGUUGUGAGAGGUUCGACGAGUCAGGUCUACAAAUUCACACUUGCAAAUUUGCCUUGUCUGAAUCCUUAUGACUGGAUCAUACUCUAUAAUAUGAUGUUAAAGGAGAAGGAGAAGUACGAAUCUGUCAUGUCCCAUCUCGAAAUCAUGUUACAGUCCUAUAUUCAAGAGGUUGGAGAGAUGGAUGUCGAGAUAGUUGUGGUCCUGCGAAAGAAACCUUCUACUAUUCCUAAAGAAGCUCCGAAGGAUUUUGAAAAGUUGAAGCCAGAAAAGAUUUAUAAAGAAGGAUGGUUCGUGGUGUAUCAGUCAAGUGAACGAACUGGAGCUGACUUUCACAAGUUUUGCUUCUUUCUUUCUGACAAACAUCUGAACACUACUUCUUUAAUUGAAUUUAUUUUGGACUUGCUGACAAAGUUCAAGGGAAAUAGUAAGGAGGAUCUCAAGUGCUUCUCUGACAUGAUCUUAUGGUACAUUCGCAUUCGCAAGCUGCUGGUGAGCUUCUUUUCAAAAAUUUAUGAAGUACAGAAGCGAAUUCAAGGAUAAUGGACUUUUGCCUCAAUUAAUGCAAAAGGGGAGAUUGUUGAAGAUUUUAUGUUGCGUCAUUGGGCCCUUUUGUAUAUGUCUAUUAUGAAAACGAGUUGGUCCUGUCCUCCUGUAUUUUAUUAUAGGGUUAGAGUAUUUAUGGUGUAUGCAUGCAUCUUAUUUUUGUUAACUCUGAUAAUUAUGCUGUAACCCUAAUAGCACCUCUAUAGUUGAAAUUCUUCAUCGAGUUCUUCUGAGGCAUGACAUUUUAUCAUUUGACAUUCUUGAUUCAUCAUUGUGUUAUUUCUUUUACUUGUUCUGAAUCUGAUCGAUCCUUAAGGAGUUUAAUCCUAACACUAUUCUUAUAGCAUGCACACAAUGUCUUUCCUUAGUCAUCAUUUUUGUGAAUAGAUCACCUGGAUUUUCUUCUGAUGAUACUCGCUUCACAAUAAGAACUCCAUCCUCAACUCCGUCUCGAAUGUAAUGAAACUUCUACUUUAUAUGCCUUGACCUUCCGUGACCCUUAUGUUCUUUAUUCAGAUCGACUAUACCUUCAUUAUCACAAAAUAUAUCCACGGGAUCUUUAUUGCUCGGAACAACCACAAGAUCACCAAUGAAGUUCUUGACUCAGGUAGAUUCCUUGGAUGCCUCGCUAGCAAAAAUAUAUUUUGACUCGCAGGUAGAGCCUGCCACCAUUUCGUGUUUGGAACUUUUCCAUGUCACCGCACAACCAAAAAAUACAAAUACCCUUUCCGGACUGUGACUUUGAAUCAUUUCUAUCCAUUUUGAAACUUGCAUCAGUGUAGCCUUUCACAACCAACUCUUAUUCACCUCCAUACACAAGCAAAAUAUCUUUUGUAUUUCUCAAAUACUUAAGAAUGUUCUUAAAAACCUUUUAAUGACCUAGCCUCGGGCUUUUGUAACAUUCCGUUUAAAAAAACUAAUUAAAUAAAAAAGUAAAUAAAUAAUUAACCCUAAACCCGAGAUGGAUAUUAUAUUUCAUUGUAGCCCUAAAUUAGUAAUAACUUAGCAGGUUGUUGGUUUUUGGGGAGUUAAAUGUCAUAAUUGGGAUUUUGGGGGUUAAAGUGUAAAUUCCGGAUUGGUUUUGUAAAGAAUUCUAAAGGCUGAGGGCAAUUUGGUAGAUUAUGGAUUGAAGUUGAAAAGAAUUGAUAGGGAGGGGCUAGAUGUGUAAUUAUGAGUUUAGUUAUUAUAUGGAGGGGCAUAAACCCAUCACUUUCCUUCAUUCAAACUCUAACCCUAAAGCCUUUAUAUAGCCACCACCUUAUUUCCUUACCUCCAGCCGCCGCUAUCAACUUCGACCACCUAGCACCAUCGAACGUCCACCGGCGGCCUUUGUUGCCGGAGAUAACCAAGACCUACAUAAAACCGGGAGACUUCGCAUCAAUUAGAGAUCGGAGGAUCAAAUUCGAUGUCAUGGUUUUCGUUGCUUCCAUUCUCAACUGCAUCUUCUUCUCUGUUACUCGGUUGCUACGCCCCAGCCCCCGUUCCGUCGUCGCCGUAGCUCUGAGUGGCUGCCUUUUGUUAUGCUCCGGAUGCCGCCUACCACCCGAAGUGGCUGAGACAGGUGUGUUUUUUUAUGAUAGAAAUUGUGUUUGUGUGUGUUUUUGCUUUACCGUGAAGUGUGUGUGGGUGUGAUGUUGGCCGGAGAGCUAGGCGGACCACCAUGGCAGCCAACAAUGGUGGAUGCGACUAUGGUGUCCUCUUUUGCCGCCACCAACCACCAUGAGGGGUGGUUGUUGUGUGUUUUGGUAUGUGUGUAUGAGCGUAUUUUAUGAGUAUGAUAUUGUAUAGACUUUGCUUGGCCGGGAAACCGAAGAAAAACGCAUCACCACCACCGUGAGGUGGUGGUUACCACUAUGGUGUCUUCUUUUACCGUCACCAACCAACGUAGGGGUGGCUAUGUGUGUGUGUUUUGGUGUGUAUGUUAACAUAUUUUAUGAGUAUGAUAUUGUAUGGACUUUGUUUGGUCGGGAAACCAAAGAAAAAACCCAUCACCACCACCGUGAGGUGGUGGCUGCCACCUUCUGUGGCCGUGAACUGUCAUCGACCACCACCGGUUGAGGUGGCAAUGGGUGGUGCCCAACCUAGUGAAACACUAAUUAAACAAAAAACUUAACCUUGGACCUAAUUGGCAUCUUUUGGGGUUGGAAACCCUAAUUAGGGUUUAUGAAACCCUAAUCUGGGAGACUUUUGUUUGGGACUUGCCGGGACCUGCGUUUUGGAACGUUGGAUUGGAGUUAUGAAUUAUGUCUGACCUCAUUGUAUGUUUGACCUGAUAAAGUGAUUAAGUGAUCUUACCUAACCCUAAUCGUCAUUUUAUGCGACUACCUAAUUUUGUUUGGGCUUCGAGUUAGGCCUUUCUUUUGGGCUUAUGUGUUUAGGUUCUUGUUGGGACAUCUGAGAAGAAGUGUAUGGACUAGGAUAUUUGGAUGGGCUUUAGGGUAAUCCCUAUGUAAGGGAUUGGGCCUAAUUUGGAAAAGUGGGCCAUAGUUAGGCCUUGGUUGAUUAUUUGGCUUUUCGGCCUUCAGAGUGUGAGUUUGGGCCUUAGUCUUGGACCAAGCUAGGUUAGGGUAAAAUGGUCUUUUUAUCCCAAGUAUGAAUUUAUGGUCAUGCGUAGGAACCCAAGUAUUAAUUUGGUGUUGUUUUGAUGUUGAUAGUUCAGAGAUUUGUCAGCUAGUAGCUAGAGAUUUAGCUGCGGAACUUCAGCAGUUUGAGGUGAGUUUCCUCACUGGGGUUAGCGGGUCGAAGGCACCAAAGCCGUCCUAUAUUUAUGCUAUGUUAAUAUCCUAGCUAUCUUCGUGACUCUUGCAUGUGUAUGUGUUUAUAUGCUUUCCGGGCUAAGGUAUGAUGACCGGGCGGGGCCCGAUGACUGUUUCCAUGUUAUGUAUCUAUGUUGCAUGCGUAUGUGCUUAAUCGAUAUAUGUUAUGCGAGUGUGGGCGGGGCCCACAUCUCAUUAUUAUCUGAGUGUGGGCGGGGCCCAUAUCUCAUUAUUAUCUGAGUGUGGACGGGGCCCAUAUCUCAUUGAGUGGGGCCCGUUAUUCGAGUGUUGGUGAGAUCUGUAUCUCACCGUUAUUUGAGUGUGGGCGGGGCCCACAUCUCACUGUUAUUCGAGUGUGGGCGGGGCCCGUUUCUUAUCAUUGCAUUAUAUGUAUGGUAUGUGAUAUCUUGGGGAACUUACUAAGCUUUUUGCUUAUGAUCUUCAAUUUAUGUUUCAGGUACUUCAGUUUUCAAAAGGAAGAGCUCGGGUUGACUGAAUGGCAUGCACACUUAUUGUUAUGCAUUUGACUUGUUCUUGGGUUUAUACUCUAAUUAUAAUGUUUCUGUUUUAUUUAAACGAGUAACUAAUGACCCUUCUUUUAUAAAUUAAAAGAAAUUUUAUGCCAAUAUCUUUGGGGACGUUACAAGUUGGUAUCAGAGUUGGGGCACGGGUUGAUGUAUUCGACGGCGACGUCGAACCCUAUAGUUGGGGGUGAUGGUGGGUUGCGCUUGAUCCGACAUUGACUUGGAAGGAGAACGAAUCAUUCCUUAUAAUGAGUGUGGAUACCUUCCUUAUCACAACUCGUUUUAAAGCCGCGAGGGAAGUAGAUCCCAUAAGAACUCUGCAGUUCAGCGAGCCUGGGUGAGAGCAAUCCAAGGAUGGGUGACCCCCUGGGAUGUUUUCGUGCCGCGAGCCCAAAGCAGACAAUAUUAUGAUACGUUCCAAAGGGGGAUGUUACAGUUUUCCUGAUAUAGACUCACCAUACUCAAAGCAUAUGAGACACUAGGAUUAGUACAUGUCAUAGUAUAUAUGAUCGAUCCUAUAGCUGAAGCAUAAACUCAUUCUUUCUUGUUCAUUAUUAAAACUAGGAUAUUGAGACUUACUCAAUUUUAUACUAUCAUGAAUUAGAACUUUUCCUUUCUUGAAAUUUUCAUAUUGAAUCUUUUCAAUACUUUAUCCAUAUAGGUACUUUGACUAAGUCCUAUUGAACGUCUAAAUCUAUCUUUAUAGAUACUUAUACCAAGUAUGUAUGUUUCUUCACCCAAGUCCUUCAUAGAUAAAUAUUUACCGAGUCAAGUUUAACACCUUUCAAAUCAUUGAUAUUGUUUCCUAUAAGUAGUAUGUCAUCCACAUACAAAACUAGGAAAACAAGGGUACUCCCACUAGCUUUGACAUAUACAAAGGACACACCCGAACUUCCAGAAAAACCAUACUCUUCGACCUUUUCAUAGAAGCACAGAUUCCAGCUUCGUGAUUUCUGAUUAAGUACACAGAUGGACCUUUCAAGCCUGGUGGACAUCCCCAUUUUUACGGCCAGAAAAGACCGAUUUUGUCUACGCUUUAUAAAAACCAGAGUACCUUUUUUAGUGAAUCCUUACAACGAGACUAUCCAUACUCUCGGACCUUAAAUUUUACCUCUUACUUAACCCAUACUCUCGGAUCUAAUUCAUGCUCUCAGAUCAAUAAUUGUGCCCAUUCCAUAAUCUCGGAUUAGGGACAAGUGUCUAUGUGUAAAUCCAUUUUCCCGGAUUAACGAUGAAUAACUAUGUCCUAUCCAUACUCCCGGACAGAGGACGACUCACUAUGUCUUAAUCCAUACUCCCGGACUAAGGACAACUGACUAUGUCUUAAUCUAUACUCCCAGAUUAAUGACAGUUGACUAUGACCAAUCCGUACUCUCGGACUAAGGACAAUGACUAUGUCUAAUCCAUGCUCUCGGAUCAAGGACAUAUACUAAAGUUCUAUUCUUUGAGUAUAACUCACUCGUAUUCAUAAGAAAAUACUACCCAAUAUUCCUCAUAAUUAAUUUAGAUUUACUCUUUAUCCUAAAUCUUCUUAUAUAAUCAGGUAUGUUCUUUAACACGUAUUCUAGGCAACAUCAAUUAACUUCCACGUAAACAUAUAAUUAAUACUUCAGUCAAUACUUGUAUUAAUAUCAUGUUCAAGAAAGGGACUAUGUACUCACCUGAUAAGGUGGUGACUCGGUACUCGGACGACACUUCGUUUACUUUAAAAAAAACUCCUUUGGCAAAACCUAGUAUCAUUGCCGCUAGAGUUUAGUCUAAUGCUCGAUGAGACUAAUUAAUAGUCUAACUAUUAUUACUAUUAUAUAAGCGUUAACACAAUACUUUUCACCCACUAUAUAUAGACAGGGCCAGAAAUGGAACAUCGGAGGGCAGGAUCAUUUUGGCAUAUAGCACUUUUGAAAUCCAGAAACCCAAGCGGCCCUCCAAACCAGAUUCCCCGUACCUCGAGUGGUUAAAAAGAUAUUAUAAGGACACUUAUAUGAUUCAUAAUAAUAGCCCAAAUAUUUAUUAUAAGGUCCUAAUAACAUUACUAUAUUUAAAAUAGCAUAGGCAUGUCUUACCUACGAGGGGGUUUAGCUAGAAGCCGGGCUCUGUAGGGGCAGAACUUCCGAAUCGAAAGCUCUUCUUCUCGGAGCCGUCGAGCGUUCUAGGGCUUUCCUCUAGCGUUAGGGGAGUUUUGGGAGGUUUAGAGAGAGUGUAGAUAGAUGAAAGAAUGGGAAAGGUGUGAAGAAAAUAAGGGUGGGAGAGGUUCUAUUUAUAAGGUGUAAUAUGGCCGAACUUGGUGCCACAUGUUACCAUUUGGUGGAAAGACUUGGGGAGAAAGCAAUGGCCAAGAUUGUGUCAUGUCACCCAUUUUCGCACAACACACUUCCGACUUCUAAAAUCCAUAACUUUUGCAUACAAGCUCCCUUUCUGACGUUCUUUAAAUCCACGCGUAGGUAAAAAAAAUAAGAUCUACAACUUUCAUUUUGACUCCGUUGGCUGAUUCUCGACCGAUCUUAUAUUUAACAGUAUGAGGAGAUUAUAUUGCUAAAUGACCGCGAGAAAUUCGUAACUCCUUCAUACGGACUCCGUUUUUGUCUGUCUUUUAUCGUUGAGUUCCUAUUAAUGAGAUAUUCAACUCUCAUUUAGGUCACGUAGGCCCAAAACCGCUCGAUCUAAAAUUCGAGUUUCGGGUCGUGCACUGCUAUGCCAAAUCUUAGAAAAUUCAUAACUUCUACAUACGAAGUCAGAUUUGGGCGUUGUUUUUAUGCACAUUCUCGGUUUAACGUAUACUACAACUCUUUUUUAGAUCACUAAGGCCAAAAAGUCCUCUAUCGUAAAUUCACUAUUUAUGUCUCCCGGUGCCGUGCCGGUUUUGUCGUAAAACUUCGACGAGCCAUAACUUCUUUGUUAUAACUCGGAUUUUGGCGUUCUUUAUAUGUAAGGAACCCUUGUAACACAUACUACUACUUGGUUAAGAUUACUCCUUCUAAAUAAUAUUCCAUAAAAAACUCAUUUUUGAUGCUUAUUGUCUCUAAAUUGACUAGCCCAAAUCUGCGGGCGUUACAGUUAUCUCCCCCUUAGGAUGAUUACGUCCUGGAAUCAUCAACGAAACAGGGUUGUAUAAUGACUCUGUACGUUAUCUAUUCAUCAUAGGGAAUAAUCGUAACUUCUAUGUUUCUUCGAAUGUGUAUCUAACUCUUGGUCUUGUUGACUGCAAGUGGUGCUUAAUCUUGCACCCGUUCUCUAUGUCUUGUUACACUUUCAAUCAUGAACUUCAUGUCACAAACUUGCUCUUUAUCAGAGACUCUAUCUUCUUCUUAACAAACUUAAGAUAAGUUUAUUUGAUUUCCACGAUAGACCGAUGCGUCACGUUCUAAUGAACUCUCAUCGUAUGUUGCAACGCUCAGCCUCAGGUCUCUUAGAGUCAAAUUCCAGAAUGGAAUAUACUUUCCUUCAUGUUCUAAUGUGAUAUAAUCACAUUUUAACAUGUAGCAUUUCUAGCUACCAAUUUCUUUAACUAGCGCGAUACUUCUAUUGACCUCUUCGAUUAUUCUUUACUUCAAUCUUCUGGCUUAAGUUGGAUGCUAUAUCGAACUUGGUUCUCUGAACCACGUAACAUACUCAUCAUAGUCGGACUCAAUUUGAUAUGACCACUAGGGUCGAAACAACAAUCAUAUUGUUAAUCAUUACCGAAAACAUGGUAACGACAUACUUGAAUACAAUGAAAUUAAUUACUAGCUUCUUGGUAACCUUGUGACUUUCCAUGAUCCAAGUGCCAGUCCUGUGCUUCCGGUAGUAUAGGCCUUUACAACCAUUCACACCUACUCAUACUCGUCCCAAGUAUUGUCUCGCAGUUUUCCAAGUCAUCAUACAAGAAAAUCACAUAACAACCUAACACAUCAGAUAGUAAAAUGAAGGUUUUAUAUUAUUCCUUGAAAUGAUUACAUGGGUGUUCAAGUUCACCGUAGACUAUGCCUCUAAUAGGCUACACCUUAAGAUACUAUAACUUGAUCUUCAGAUAUCCAUCCUCACUCUUGAUUCCUUACAUUUCCAGCUGCUUCGUCUAGGAUCAUAUGAAAUGGUCUUGCCUUCGGUCUUGUUGGCACAUUUGGCUUUGCGGCUUCUUCUCUCAUUGGGCAGUUUUUCUUGUAGUGUCCUUCUUCACCACACCUAAAGCAGACUUAUCUCUUGGUUGUGCAUUCGCAGGCAUAAUGACCAGUCUUCCCGCAUUUGAAGCAGGUAAUCUCUUUAGAGCGUCUCCCAAUGCUCUUCCUUCUACACUUGUCACACCAUUGUGCUCCUUCUCUAGACUUUGUAAAUUUUCUCUUCUGGUCAGACCUUGUGGAUCCUUCAAACUUUCUCUUAUCGCCAACUUCAACCUUGCUGGCGGCUCUUCCCUUAAUCAUAUCUUCAACAGACUUGGCAUCCCAGAUAGCUGCCUCUAGAGUAGGUGCUUGGCAUAUCGGCACCGCAUACUCCCAGGGAAGUCCCUUUGCGUACUUGUCGACUUUUGUUAGCUAGUCUGGGACAAGGCGCAAAUCAAACUCCAUUUUGUCCGUGAAGUUGUUGGUGUAUUCAUUGAUGGACAUGCUCCCUUUCUUCAAAGUUAGGAAUUGGUUCUCUAGCUCGAGCAGGUUUUGGGUUGAGUAAUACUUGCGCUUGAAAUGCACCAAAAACUCUGCCCAAGUUAGUUGCAGGAACUCAUUGUGGCUUAGAGUCUUCCCCAGGGUGUUCCACCAGCACUCAGUGCCUCCUCGGAACUGACGUACUGCAAAUGUGGUCUUUAACUUGCCUCUGCAACCACACAUCAUGAAGGCCAACUCCAUCUCUGAGAUCCAAUUCAUAACUCUGAUCGGAUCUUCCUUUCCAGUGAAACUCGAUGGCUUGCAAGUUAGAAAAUCCUUGUACUUGCAUCCAUUCCUCUCGUCUCCGUCAUCUUGGUUGUUUCGUCGAACUAUUAGUGGGUUGGCUUGACCAACGGUCCCACUGUAGUUCCCUCCUUCCGAAUGCCCAUCAUUCAGUUCGGGCUGUUCGAUUGGUAUUGUAGCUUCCUCUCGAUUUUGUUGAAGCAAACGCCUGGUUUCCUCCAUUUGACGAUCCAACAUCAUUUGUAUCAAUGUCUGUACUCCGACCAUCGUGAUGGGCUUAGGAGUGGCUACCACAACAAGUAUUUGCUCAAUCACUGGAGGUUGAUUCCUGUUUUCGUUUGCGGUCCCGACUCCACUUUGGGUUUUUGCCAUUUCGAUCUAUACACCAAUUCAGAUGUUCAGUGUGUAAUGACGAGAAUUAAGAUAGGAAAUAUUUUAUUUACGAUCGACAUGUAAAUCUCCCUAUCACUCCGAAAACUUAUAUUCCAGUUCUAAUACCGUAAUUAAACGCUUAGAAACCUGAACACAUAAAUUUUCCAAAUCCGGUCGGCAACAGACCAUAGAUCUGAUCAUAUAAUGCAUAUCAUAAAUCAUUUAGCACAUUAAAGCAUGUUAGGUAUUUUCCCUAAAUAAGCUAGUGCUUGUGUCUAUUCAGGUGUAUUACCUAAAUUUUAUUAGACACACUCCUCACAAUCAUUGCUUAGCAUUCUAAGUUUAACUCUAAAAAUCAAUACAUAUUCCUAGUUCGCUUAAACUAAUGCUCUGAUACCAACUAUGAAAUCCCCAUUUUCACGGCCAGAAAAGAUCAAUUUUGUUUAUGCUUUAUAAAAAUCAGGGUACCUCUUUUAGUGAAAAUGUUGCGGAAUUUGUUCACAGUAAAACAUGAUAAAUAUGUUAUCAAAGCAUUUCCGAAGAAAUGUAUUUUUAUUCAUUUUAAAACAUCUGGGAUGUCAUCGUCAAUACAGAAACAUAAGCAUAAACAGAACUUACAUUUAUUUACACUAGUGAUCUACAUCUCUUUAAUCUCCCAGUGUAAUGUAACUUCGUAUAGACACCUGUGAUACAAAUAAGCUUGAGUGGGUCAGGUUGGGAGACAUGGUGAGUACAUAGGGAUUUCAAUCCCACAAUGUUCUAUCAUAUAUAUAAUUGAGAACUCACAAAAUAUACAAUUUCACCAUAUAUAUAUAUAUAUAUAUAUAUAUAUAUAUAUAUAUAUAAGCAAUUCUUACCCCACCUACUUAAUCCUUACAACGANCCCCACCUUGUUAAUCCUUACAACGAGACUAUCCAUACUUUCGGACCUUAAGUUUUACCUCUUAAUUAACCCGUACUCUCAGAUCUAAUUCAUGCUCUCGGAUCAAUAAUUGUCCCCAUUCCAUACUCUCGGAUUCGGGACAAGUGUCUAUGUGUAAAUCCAUUCUCCCGGAUUAACGACGAAUAACUAUGUCCUAUCCAUACUCCCGGACUGAGGACGACUGACUAUGUCUUAAUCUAUACUCCCGGACUAAGGACAACUGACUAUGUCUUAAUCUAUACUCUCGGAUUAAUGACAGUUGAUUAUGUCCAAUCCAUACUCUCGGAAUAGGGACAAUGACUGUGAUACAAUUAAGCUUGAGUGGGUCAGGUUGGGAGACCUGGUGAGUACAUAGGGAUUUCAAUCCCACAAUGUUCUAUCAUAUAUAUAAUUUAGAAUUCACAAAAUAUACAAUUUCACCAUAUAUAUAUAUAUAUAUAUAUAUAUAUANAAUAAUUGUCCCCAUUCCAUACUCUCGGAUUAGGGACAAGUGUCUAUGUGUAAAUCCAUUCUCCCGGAUUAACGACGAAUAAGUUUGUCCUAUCUAUACUCCCGGACUGAGGACGACUCACUAUGUCUUAAUCUAUACUCCCAGACUAAGGACAACUGACUAUGUCCUAAUCUAUACUCCCGGAUUAAUGACAGUUGACUAUGUCCAAUCCAUACUCUCGGACUAGGGACAACGACUAUGAUACAAANNNNNNNNNNNNNNNNNNNNNNNNNNNNNNNNNNNNNNNNNNNNNNNNNNNNNNNNNNNNNNNNNNNNNNNNNNNNNNNNNNNNNNNNNNNNNNNNNNNNNNNNNNNNNNNNNNNNNNNNNNNNNNNNNNNNNNNNNNNNNNNNNNNNNNNNNNNNNNNNNNNNNNNNNNNNNNNNNNNNNNNNNNNNNNNNNNNNNNNNNNNNNNNNNNNNNNNNNNNNNNNNNNNNNNNNNNNNNNNNNNNNNNNNAUAUAUAUAUAUAUAUAUAUAUAUAUAUAUAUAUAUAUAAGCAACUCUUACCCCACCCCGUUAAUCCUUACAACGAGACUAUCCAUACUCUCGGACCUUAAAUUUUACCUCUUAAUUAACCCAUACUCUCAGAUCUAAUUCAUGCUCUCGGAUCAAUAACUGUCCCCAUUCCAUACUCUCGGAUUAGGGACAAGUGUCUAUGUGUAAAUCCAUUCUCCUGGAUUAACGACGAAUAACUAUGUCCUAUCCAUACUCCCGGACUGAGGACAACUCACUAUGUCUUAAUCUAUACUCCCGGACUAAGGACAACUGACUAUGUCUUAAUCUAUACUCAUGGAUUAAUGACAGUUGACUAUGUCCAAUCCAUACUCUCGGACUAGGGACAAUGACUAUGUCUAAUCCAUGCUCCCAGAUCAAGGUCAUAUACUAAAGUUCUAUUCUUUGAGUAUAACUCACUCGUAUUCAUAAGAAAAUACUACCCAAUAUUCCUCAUAAUUAAUUUGGGUUUACUCUUUAUCCUAAAUCAUCAUAUAUAAUCAGGUAUGUUCUUCAACACGUACUUCAGGCAACAUCAAUUAACUUGCACAUAAACAUAUAAUUAAUACUUCAAUCAAUACUUGUAUUAAUAUCAUGUUCAAGAAAGGGACUAUGUACUCACCUGAUAAGGUGGUGACUCGGUACUCGGACGACACUUCGUUUACUUUAAACAACUCCUUUGGCAAAAGCUAGUAUCAUUACCACUAGAGUUUAGUCUAAUGCUCGACGAGACUAAUUAAUAGUCUAACUAUUAUUACUAUUAUAUAAGCGUUAACACAAUACUUUUCACCCACUAUAUAUACAGACAGGGCCAGAAAUGGAACAUCGGAGGGCAGGAUCAUUUUGGCAUAUAGCACUUUUGAAACCCAACAACCCAAGCGGCCCUCCAAACCAGAUUCCCUGUACCUCGAGUGGUUAAAAAGAUAUUAUAACGACACUUAUAUAAUUCAUAAUAAUAGCCCAAACAUUUAUUAUAAGGUCCUAAUAACAUUACUAUAUUUAAAAUAGCGUAUGCGUAUCUUACCUACGAGGGGGUUUGGCUAGAAGUCGGGCUCUGCAAGGGCAGAACUUCCGAGUCGAAAGCUCUUCUUCUCGGAGCCGUCGAGCGCUCCAGGGCUUUCUUCUAGCGCUAGGGGAGUUUUGGGAGUUUUAGAGAGAGUGUAGACUUGGGGAGAGGUUCUAUUUAUAGGGUGUAAUAUGGCUGAACUUGGUUCCACAUGUCAUCAUCUGAUGGCAAGACUUGGGGAGAAAGCAAUGGCCAAGAUUGUGCCACGUUACCCAUUUUCGCACAACACACUUCCGACUUCUAAAAUUCGUAACUUUCACAUAUGAGCUCCCAUUUGGCAUUCUUUAUAUCCAUGCGGAGGUAAAAAUAAUAUCUACAACUUUCAUUUUUACUCCGUCGGCUAAUUCUCAACCGAUCUAUAAUGUAACAGUAGGAGGAGAUUAUACUAUUAAAUGACCACGAAAAAUCUCUAACUCCUUCAUACAGACUCCGUUUUCAUUUUGUCUUUUUAUCGUUGAGUUCCUAUUAAUGAGAUCUUCAACUCUCAUUUAGGUCGUGUAUGCCAAAAACCGCUCGAUCUAAAAUUCGAGUUUCGAGCCGUGCACUGUUGCGCGACAUCUUAGAAAAUUCAUAACUUCCUCAUAUGAAGUCAGAUUUGGGCGUUCUUUUUAUGCACAGUCUUGGUUUAACGUAUACUACAACUUUUGUUUAGAUCACUAAGGCCAAAAAGUCCUCUAUUGUAAAUUCACUAUUUACGUCUCCCGGUGCCGUGUCUGUUUUGCCGUAAAACUUCGACGGACCGUAACUUCUUUGUUAUUACUUGGAUUUUGGCUUCUCUAUAUGUACGGAACCCUUGUAACAUAUACUACCACUUGGUUAAUAUUACUCCUUCUAAAUAAUAUUCCAUCAAAAACUCAUUGUUGAUGCUUAUUGUCUCUAAAUUAACUAGCCCGAAUCUGCGGGCGUUACACCUGUACACUCUAUUCAAAUACACGACACAUUCAUAACCUUCAGGCUGUGCCAUAUACAUAACCUCUAAUAGUAUCCUUGGAAGAAAGUCAUUUUUACAACCAUUUUCCAUACAUCAUAAUUAUCAAAGGCACCUAUGGAAUGUAGUAUCCUAAUAGACUUUAUCUUGGCUACUAGUGAGACCGUUUCCUCAUAAUUAAUUCCUUCAGUCUGAGUGAAACCUUUUUCCACUAACCUAACUUUGAAUGUGUGCACAUUUCCAUCCAUGUCAGUCUUCUUUUUGAAGAUCUAUUUACAACCUACUAUAUUAAGACCAGGUGAUGGAGUAACCAACUUACAAACUUCGUUAUCCAUCAUGGACUGUAUUUAGUUAUCCAUUUCGACUUUUCAUUGGGCAACCUCAGAGCCUGCCAUUGCUUCCUUGUAGUUAGAUGGCUCAUCCAUAUUGAGUAGUGUUUUAUUAUGAAGAAACAUGUUUCCCUUGCACACUUAUAUGGAAACCAUAAAACUCGAAAGGAUUGCUAACUCUAGCAGAUCAAUGAAGACGUAAGGAUAUAUCUUUUGGCUCAACAGGUUUCUCAACCUCUGAUUGAGUACUAGUGCUAAUUAUAGGUUCACUGUCGGUUGACUCUCAUAUUUAUUCAAGUUUAAGUUGACUCCCAAUGACUUUUGGAGAUAUAAGUUCUCUCAAAAGGAACAUUCUUUUUCGAGCCACAAAUACCAUGUUUUCACUGGAUCUAUAAAAUAAAUAACCAAAAACCUUUUGUGGAUAACCAGCAAAAAGACACAUCUCUGUGACAACCGAGAAAAUACAUCGCCAACCGACGUUAGGAUCUAACGUUGUCAAUAACACGUAACUAGACCACUUUGCAACUAUUCCAUAUAUGGAUAAAUAUAUUCAACAUUUUUAAUUACGCCGACUAACGAGCUCAAAAUAUAAGUGUGUAAAAAAUCAUUUCAUCUUAGGAAUGGGUUAACAUUUUUAAAAUGUACGCGUUAUCGCAAUCCCAAAAAUAUAAACUUUGUAAAAAUAUGACAUCGUAUGGAAGAGAUAUGAUUUUUAUAGUGAAUAAAAAUCUAUUGCACACAAAAAGUUACAACGGAAAAAAUUACGAGGAGAAUGGUUGACCUUUAACAGAAUUCACCAAAAGGAGGAACGUAGCACUACUUAAAGUAGGAAUUUUGAGACAAAGAACUCCUGAAUAGAAACCUAUUGGAAAAUUGGUGUUAACAUUUAGUCACUAAACUUUUUUUCGUUAUCUAUUUGCCAUUAAACUAUUGAAACCGUUCACAUUUUACCCUUAUAACCGGCUGUUACCGGUCAUAAGGGUAAAAUGUGAACAGUUUCAAUAGUUUAGUGACAAAUAGAUAACGAAAAAAAAUUUAGUGACUAAAUGUGAACAAAAUCGAAAGUUCGUUUCCCUCUAAAAAGUUCAAUGACUAAAUGUGAACAAACUUCCUCUUGUAUUAUGUUUUAGCAAAUUAUUUAUUUUUGUGAAACUAUAGCAACAUUUGUUGAUGAAGAAAUCUAUGAAAAAAAAACCCUGAAAAUAUAUUUUUUUUUAAAAAAAAAACUGAAACCGAAAUAAAAAAUCAAUGGUUUGACAUUUUCCAAAAUAAAAAAUCAAAAUUUCCAAUCUGAUUUUGGUUUUACAAAAAAAAUGAACCAUUCUCACUGAUGUGAAUUGUGACCAUUGGUUUGGCAUGCGGAAUUUGUGACAUCCCAUGAAUACAUAGUUACAACAUCGUCUGAACUCGUAAUUCAUUGUAAGAGGUUAGAGUAUCAUCGCAUGAAUACGUAGUUACAACAUCGCCUGAACUCGUAAUUCAUCACCUACAGGUUAUGGGUCUGCUGGUGUUUCCACUAGGUUGUCUAGAAUAGUCCGUGGUCGCCAUCUAUACUCUGGUAGAUGACUACAUCGCCACAUUGCCGGUUAAGGUUAUGGUAUCUCCUUUCAUCCUACAUCACCUAUUCAUCAUCAUCUAUUUACCUAAUUAUCAUCACCUUUCUAUCAUCACCUAUCUCUCAUUAUUUGAUUUCAUCACACACCAACUAUUUCAUCUACCCAUGUUUCAUCCGCAACAUAUUUGUAGAUAUAAAAUAAAUAUACCGUUUAAAUCUUUUAAAACAUGUAUAAAAUCGUUCAUCCAGCAUAGACAACAAGUAUUCAAAUAAUAUGCACACAUAACACGUAAUUUAUAUAAAAUACUUCAUAUCUAUGUGUAAGAUGAAAGUAACUAUAUAUACCAUAAAAAUCCCAUAAAUGCUUCCUAACUUCAAACCCCAAGGUUUACUCUACUAAAGCUUCAUAUUCUCGGCUCUCUGAACCUAGAAGGGUCCAGAUUCCUAACUUCAAACCCCAAGGUUUACUCCUAAAGCUUCAUAUUCUCGGCUCUCUGGACCUAGAAGGGUCCAGAUCUAUAACACAAACUUGGAAGAGGGAUUUGAGGCAUUCAAAACCCCAAAGAUGAAGUGAUUCAAGCCCUAACCCCAAAAUGGAGUCUACACAAUAGGGAAGGAAAGGGGUUCAUUUUUGUACCUCAGAAUGAAGCUCCUUGCUUGAAUAACUCAGAACAAUAACCUUCCUUGGUCCCUCUUGCUGGAACUCUUCUCCUUUCUUGCAAAAUCACACCAAAAAGCUCAAGAUAGCUCUUCCUCUCACUCUACACACUCAAGCUCGCUAGGGUUCUCACUUAUGGGAAAGGUAGUCGCAAUUGAAGGCCAUAAGUGCCUUUAAAUAUGGCUCGGGCCCAAAGAUUUAGGGUUUCUGCCAACAGCGCAGACUCGUCGAGUCGCCUCACCGACUCGUCGAGUCCAUUCAUUAAUCCGAUUCAUCAUUCGUGACCUUACUCGACGAGUUGAGGGGUCAACUCGUCGAGUCUCUCUUCUUAACUCAAAAGAAAAAUACUUAAAUUAUGAUACCUGAAAAUCCGGAUGUUACAUUUUGUUUUUUUUAUUUAUAGAUUUCUUCAUCAACAAAUGUUGCUACAAUUAAACAAAAAUAAAUAAUUUGCUAAAACAUAAUACAAUAGGAAGUUUGUUCACAUUUAGCCAUUGAACUUUUUAGAGGGAAACGAACUUUCGAUUUUGUUCACAUUUAGUCACUAAACUUUUUUUCGUUAUCUAUUUGCCACUAAACUAUUGAAACUGUUCACAUUUUACCCUUAUGACCGGUAACAGCCGGUCAUAAGGGUAAAAUGUGAACAGUUUCAAUAGUUCAAUGGCAAAUAGAUAACGAAAAAAAGUUUAGUGACUAAAUCUGAACAAAGUUGAAAGUUCGUUACCCUUUCAAGUCAUUAUCCCUUUUAAAAAAUGGGUUUUUUUUCCAUUUUUUUACACAUCCAAAAUGGAUUUAUAUGAAUGAGAAAUUAAUCCUUAAAGUAGGGUGUUGGAAGAACUAAAUAAAAGAGUUUAAUGGUCGGGAGAAAGAAAAGAAAAGUCCAAGGAACUUUCUUGCAAACAUUUCUUUCUUUUGUAACUGAAAUUGUAAUUAAUAUUACAAUUUAAUUACAUAUUAACACACAUUAAUUUUGUGAUUAAUAGAGGGGUUUAAAUGGGAGGUUAUAGAAUGUGUAGUGUAAAUACCACUACUCUACAACCAUUUGUGAGCACCAAAAGAAUGUAAGAAAACUCUCUUCUUCCCCCACUUCAUCUUCUUCUUUUUCUAGCUAUAUUGAAGAUAUAAUCCAAGCCUAUUAAGGGUUCGGGUGGUAUAGAAGAACCACUUCUACUUGUUGUAUCCUGGGAAACAAACACCCGAUAGCAGGCGAAUUUGUUUUAAGGACAAUGUGUUAAACACAUGCCUCAACUUUUCUUAUUUCUUAUUUCCUUUUCGUAUAUUUCUGUAAUAUUAUUCCUACAAUCUUAAAACAAACUAGUUUGUAUGAAUCGAACUAGAAAUCGGAAACAAUUUUACUUACAUUAUUUUGAUAUUGUACAAUUUUCUUAGAAAAAAAUGGAUAUUUUUUGUGAUUUUGAAGCAAAUUUGGUCAUUGAGUCAUUAAGAAAUGUAUUUGUUUUUAAGUAUCAGAUUUUCCAGCUUCAGUACUAAUUAUAUUAAGUUCCUAAUGAGUUAAGCAGCUAGCUUAACUCAAAAAAACAAUUUACGUGUUGCUGUGAAAUGCUCUAAUCUGUCCUAAUCUUUGAAAAAUCAUAGCUUUGUCAUGGAUGCUCAUUUUUUGUUGAAACCAAUUCUCGUAGUUUUUUAUAUGAGUCUACUUCAUUUCAUUACAUUUGGCCGAAAGCUGGAAACAACUCUAACUAUGGUGAAAAAUACGAUUUUCACUGACUGGUUAGAUUUUAACAGCUAUGAUACACAGUUUUGUAAAAUUCAUAAUAAAUUGUAGAAAAAUCGUAUGAACUUGUGAAAGUAGUCCUUGGAAAGAAAAGAGACGAUACUACUGGAUUAUGAACUCAGAUUUCCCUUUUGACAAGUUUAAGUGGGGCUAAAGCAGUCUUGAACAGACUACAUUUUUUUUGUUAAAAACAAAAAGGCUUUGUUUAGUCAAAAACGACUUCAUUUUUAUGUAAAACAGCUUUGGAAAUUAGAAAACAGCUUGGUUUUAAAUCAUAUUUUAAAUAGUUUUGUUGAAAGAAAACAUCGGAUAUUCUGAUAUCAUAAUUUAUGCAUUAGUUUUCUGCAUGAGAAAUCAAAUUUUAGAAUUUUUGCAUCAGAAAUCAAGUUUCAUAUUUGUUCAAAUAUAGAUCUUUAAUUAUGUUGAGUUUUUUCUAAGCAAGAGCCAAACAUAUUUUCUGGAAAUUAGAAUUCUAAACAUUUAUAUUUAGGGUAUAAAUGAUUUCAAAAAUGUCAUCAUCCAAAGUGGAACGAUUUCCGAAGUAAACUCUAUGGAUGCUAACUCCAUUGUGUGAUGGAUUGAUAUGGGUGUUACACGCCAUGUGUGCUCAAAGAGGAAGUGACUCAAGAAUUAUAAUUUUGUCCAAGUUGAGGAAAAAAUUUAUUCCUGAAAUUGUGAUUCUAAACACUUAAAUUUGGUGUUUAAAACAUCCAGAAAUGGUAUAACAUAGAAAAGAGCUAACACUUAAUGAUGUGUUGUAUGUUCCAUAGAAGGACUUAGUGUUUGGAUGGUUUUUGAACAAACAUGGAUUUUUUUUUCGUGUGUGAGUCCAAUAAGUUUGUACCAACCUAAAAAAAAGUAUGUUUGUAGGCAAGGUCUAUGAGGAUGGUGGAAUGUUUAAAUUCCAUAUAUUGGGUAAUGAGCCUAAUAUCAAUGAGUUGGAUAACUCUUCCUCUUACUUGAUUAAAUUUCUAACGUGUGACAUGCUAGAUUUGGACAUGUUAAUAUCGACACGUUAAGAAGGUUAAUCGAACUUGAACACAUACCUUAUUUUCGUACAAGUCGAAAUAUGGAUGCAACACUUGAGUUGAGUCAAAGUUCAAGUUUGUUGAAAGGACGACUAAACCCCUUGGAUUAAUUCACACAAAUGUGUGUGAUAUGAAAUCGUAUCGACAUAAUGGUGAUAUAAGUAAUUUAUCACUUUUAUUGACGAUUGCAUUAAACUUUGUUAUGUUAAUUUAUUUAAAAGUAAAGAUGCACAAGUUUAAAUUGUACAAAAGUGAGGUUGAGAAUCAUCUCAACAAAAAGAGUGAAUCUGGAUGUGAAUAUGCAUCACUAUUUGAGGACUUUUUUGCAAGUCAUGGUAUUAAACAUGAGCUUAAGGCACCUUAUUUACCAUAACAAAUGGCAUCACCGAAAAGAAACAUCAUAUCUUAAAUGAAAUGAUGAAUGACAUGUUGUUGCUUAUGUUUUGGGUUGCCACACUCAAUGUGGAGGGAAGUUUUGUUGUUAACUAAUUACCUUUUAAAUAAUGUACCCCAAAAGAAAAUGGGAAAAAACCAUCUAAGUUAUUGUCAGGUAUAAAAUCAUCUUACAAAUACAUUCAAAUAUGGGGGUGUCUCACAAAGGUUUUAUACCUAACCCCAAGGUUGUAAGGAUUGGACACUAUAUUAUUGGUUGCAUAUUUAUUGGUUAUACACAAAACAAUAGUGUUUAUUGUUUUCUUGUACACUAAUGGAAUCAACAAAUGCAUCAUAGUUUGAACAUGAGUUUCCAUGUCUUGAUCAAUAAAAGACUAGUGCUCCAAAACAAUUGGGCACAAAGAAUACUAUCAUGAAUAAGAAAUGGAGGAAUAAAUAGAUCAUGAUGGAGUAAAAUGGGACAAGUGAGAAAUCAUUUGGAGAUGAUUAAUGCAUGUAUAUGGUUGAAAGAGAGCCUCAAACUUUCAAAAAGAAUUCAAUUCCUCUGAAAGACCUCAAUGAAAAGAGUCAAUUAAAAGUGAAAUGGAUUCUUCCUUUCCAAAUCACACAUGAGAGCUAGUGGAUAUACCUUUAUUAUGUAAACCAUAAUGAUAUAAAUGGAUUUUCAAGAGGAAAAUGAAAACAUAUAGAUCCAAAGAAUAUGAGAAUCAGUAGCACGUAAUGGUCUAUGAUUUAAAUUGAAAUAUGUAGUGAUUUCUUGUUUGGUAUUUUAGAAUCAAAUGAUACUUCUAUAGUCCAAGAAGCUAUUUCCGCUAAAUCCAAUAAUAUUGGUUGGAAUUGAUCAAAACAAGAUAAAGGUUUUGAUAUUAAACAUGAAGUUGAUAAGACUAUGAAUGGAAAUAUAAGUAUUCUAAAUUUGGAAUUAUAUGAUUGUUUCUUAGAAAAUCAUAUUGCAUUAAGUUGUAUAAACUAUAUUUUUCUAUCGUUUGAACUAUUAAGCUUGAGAAAUUACCACAGUUUAGUGGAUUUCCAAAUGAGAAGUAAGAGAUGAUGACAUAUUUGAAAUAUAUGUUUCGAUUACAAACAUAAGAAUGCCUUGAUUAAUUUCAUUUGUAUUCUCUUAUAACUAUAUGUGGUUGUAACUUUUCGAACUUUGGAAGUAUAUCAUUCUGAUAUGAAAUUAAAACUUCUAAAUAUAGAUUUAGAAGUAUAAAUCUACAUGAAACUAUUAAGCAGUUAUAUUACCCGAGGGAAAGCAACAAAAUGUAUAAGUAGUAAAGUCAUUAUAUGAUUAAAGCAAGCUUUGGAACAACAGGUAUCAAAAGUUUGAAUAUCUCAUUCAACAUCAAUGGAUGUGAUGAAAUAGAUCCAUAUAAAUGGAACUUUAAAAUGAUAUUCUAUUUUAUGAGAUAGUAGGAUCCUUGAGAUAGGAUGCCUAAAGAAUUUUACAUGUAGAUGGUUAAGACAAGAAAUUGCAUGGAAAAAUACGUUAUUUCCAAGAAAACUCAUGUAUGGAGUAUUCAUAAUUACAUCUGGCUAAUGUUAUUGUGAAUUCACAGAUACAUGUAGUACAUAUGAAUAUCAUAUUAUGUUGACACAAUGAUACAUAUUCAGUGGUUGUAACUAUGGUGUAGUUAUAACCAUAUUGAUAGUGGUCAACAUUUGUUGGAAAAUAUAGGAGAAAAAAAUUUGCAAGUUUAUCCUAGGUUGGGAUUUGUAAGCUCUUGGGAGACGUCCCAUGAUGAGCCAAUAACUCCUAUAUAUGUACAUGAUGAUGUAAAUAAUGUUGAGUCUAUAUAUUUUUCGAAUACAUAACACCAUUCAAAAACGACUAUCAAGAUGAAUUAUCUUUAAUAACUAUAUAAAGUCAAAAUAUGAUUGCGGAUCCACUAACGAAAUGCUUGGAAUGAGAGGUUGUUAUGAGGAAUGGGACAAAAUCCCAUAGAUUAAUAAGUUAUUGCGAAGGAAAACCCAACCUAAUUGAUUGGAGAUCCCAAGAUCUAGGUUCAAUGGGACCACCUACUUGCAUAUAACAUUUGUGAAUCAUUGUGGGGGUUAACCCCAACCCAUUCCUAAAACAAACAAUGAUGCGGGUUAAGCUUAUAGCCGAAGAUGAUAAGUUGGAAAUCAUCAUGGAUUAGCUUUUAAUGAUUAUGAUGGAAUCAACUAUGUGAGAGAGAAGUGGGGUCGCUUCAAAGGGAAUUGUAUGGGCACAUUCCUAAGAGCUCUUACAAAACUAGGCAAGUGUCCAUGAUCAUAACGGACACAUCAAUGAGAACCUAACUAGGUCAGGGAGAAUCAUGUGAGACACACACAUAUUAUUUACACAAACGACAGAACAGUUCAUGGACAUUGAGUCUACUGGUCAGCUAGUAAAAUAAAUAUGUGAUUUAAAGGAAGGUUCAAAGGGUAACACCUACCUAUCCUAUGCAUGAUUCUGUUGGAAUAGUGUCUAAGGCUGCAACUAUAUUAGGCAAGUAUUUAACCCGGUUGUGCAUGGUCCUUUUGGGUUGCCUUCACCAUAGCAACUUGAUAGGAUGAUUUAUUUAGAGAGAAUAAAUAUUAUUAAUAUAUUAUGAGAAUAAUAUAUAAAGAAUAAUAAUAUUAUUAUUUGAUUAAUAUAAGUCAUAUAAUUAAUUAGAAUUAAUUUGGUGACUUAAAGAGAUUAAUUAAAUAAGAGGGUAUAAACUGUCAAUUGUUUGAUAGUUAAACUUUAGACUGUAAAUCCAUAUUGGAUAGGGGUGGACGGAUUCUAGAAGCUAGAGAUAGCUUAAAAUCGUCCAAGUCUAUCUAAGGAAUGGAUUUGGAUUGCUUUAAGAGAAGAUUAUCCAAUUAGGGUUUAAGUUGUAACCCUUAAGGAGUCUACAAGUAUAAAUAGACCCUAUGGCAAAGGGAAAUCGGCACUUGAUCUAAAGUAGAGAACCCCUGGCCGAAUUCCUCCCCUCUCCUCUCUCUCAAAUCAUCCUCCUUGCUAUUUGGUGUUUGUAAGCCAUUAGAGGAGUGACAAUUGUGACUCUAGAGCUCCAAGACAACAAGAUCAAACAAGAGAUUCAAAGGUAUGAUUCUAGAUCUGAUUUAGUAUUGUUCUUAUACCUAAUUAGUCAUUAGAAGUCUUGGAUUCAAAGCAUGUUUAAUUAGAAAGCCUAGAUCCAAGCAUUAGGGUUUUGCAUGCGCACAUAGGAAAGUUCUUAUGGCUAAAACCCAUCAGUGGUAUCAGAGCCUAGCUUGGUUUUCAUUAAAUUGUUGCUUAUUUGUUUGAAACUUAACUGCAAAAUUCGAUUUUUGUGUUUCUGAGUCAUGGACUCGGCGAGUUCCAUAGUGGACUCGGCGAGUUGGCCUGACUCGGCGAGUCCCUUGGUGCACUCGGCGAGUCCAAGCGUCAGGAAUGGCCAGAUUCGGGAUUUCUUCAUGAUUAUCUUAUGGAAACUUACCUUAAUCAUAUUAGAUCAACCCUAAUCCGAUUUUUUGAUAUAUAUGACUAUAAUCUUGAUCUAAUUAAAGAUAUUUAUCAACUAAUAAAAUAUUUAAUUUCCUUAUAUGAUAAUUAAUUAAUUAUUUUGAUUAUUUUGGUAAUUAUCUUGCAAGAAAUCUUGAAUAAAUCAAAUAUAGAUAAUUAGGAAAUUAAUUGUUAAUUAAAAUUAUUUGUUAUUUGAUCCUCCAUGUUUUAAAUGUUUAAAACUUGUCCUCAAGUUUUGAAAUUUAUAUUUUGUGAUUAAAAGUUUUAAUUUAGACAAUUUAAAUUUCAAACCCUAGAUUUUAAAAGGUUUAAAAUACAACCCUAUACUAAUAUAAUAUUACAAGAAUAAUAUAUAUAUAUAUAUAAAUAACUAAAAUGCUAGUCUUACCGUUAGUAGGCCUCAUUCACGAAGCCGAUCUAUAAGGUGGGUAUAAGGUUGCGGCCUAUAAAAUGGCGCUUAAUGGGUGUACACUCACACCCACCGCUUGCUUGAUCGGUGGAGGGUCGUUAGCCGAACGGGUAGGAUAGGGCAACCUCAUCCUCUCAUUAAAAGUAUAAUAAGAAAUACAAAGUAACUACACAUAUUUUAAAAUUUCCCAAUCUUAGUUACUUUAGGAAAAGUGAAUUGAUGCAAUCCCAUGAAAUUACACUUUGCACCCUUGCUAAGAAGUUAGUGGAGCGUGUGUGGUUUACCGGCACACUAAUUGGUUCUAAGCAAAGGUGGCAAAGGGUGAUUCAUUGUUUAUCAUAGUUCGAUGGAGCGUGUGUGGUUUACCGGCACAUCGAAUAGGUGAUCGUUACAAUGAAGGCACCAUGUGAAUUUGCAUGGUAAUUCACACCCGCUUUGUGAUCCUCGGUAUCCCAGUCACAAACAAGAGGGGCAUAUCGAGAUUUAAACAUGCCAUUGAAUAGUUUCAAUGAAUCUCAUCCGAACCUAGGAAUUCUCAAUACAUUUAGGACUAAUAGUUAGGUUUUUUGGUGGAGAAUUAGUGAAUCGUCAUUCACUUACCUUCAAUUUAUUUGCAUGUUAGAUUACGGCAUCCCUUUUCUAAUAUGUAAAUGUUGUUGUUGGAUCCUAGCCCUAAUUUUUCUUAUUGGGUGAUAAUUAGGGAUUCAUAUUCUAAUCUAUCUUUGUCCUUUCUAUUUGUAGAUGUCGAACGCAAACAACGCUGCUGCUAGUUCUUUCACAUUGAUGAGCCUUUGUCAAAAGGUCACUUUCGAUGGGACGAACUUUAGCGAAUGGAUAAGAUACAUUCGCACCAUUGCUCGCUAUGAGGAUAAGGAGUAUGUCCUCGAUGAGAAGCUCGAGAAAAUCAACCCUGAAAUCGCUACUCCGGCUGAAAUGACCGCUUUUGAAACUCAUGAGCGCGAUGCAACGAAGGUACAUUGCAUCAUGAUAGCCACCAUGAACUCCGAAUUCCAAAAGUCCUAUGAGGACAUGUACCCGUACGAGAUGCAUCAAGACUUAUUGGAGAGAUACCACCAAAACGCGAGACAAGAGCGUUAUGAGAUUUUCACUAACAUGAUUUCCGCUAAGAUGGGUCAUGGAGAGUCUCUUACCGUGCACCUGCAAAAGAUGCAAAGGUAUGUCGACCGCCUUCGCAAGUUAAAUGUUGACUUUGGGGAAGACUUGGCGAUCGACAUGGUGCUUCACUCUUUGCCUCCGAUGUACAAUCAAUUUAGGAUGACCUACCACAUGAACAAAGAGGAGGUCACCCUAAGCAAACUCCAAGGUCUCUUGAGGGUCGCUGAGAGCAACUUCAAAGACAAGUCUGUUGCACCAACUCCCAAUCCACCCGCUGCUCCUGUCUUGGCUAUUGGUCAAGGAAAGGGAAAGAAGAGGAAGGCUUCGUCUAAGAACUAUCGCAAGGUUAAAGCCCGAGAUGGUGCCUCUUCUAGUGGGACCAAAGUUGAUCCCGCUAAGCCCUGCCCUAACCCAAAGGAGGCAGAGUGCCACCACUGCCACAAGAUAGGACAUUGGAAGAGAAGCUGCCCAGAGUACCUGCAAGCCAUCAAGGAAGGAAAGAUCAAGCCAUCUUUCGCAGGUAUAUACACAAUUAAAUCUAACGAUUCUAAUCAUGCUAUUUCUUGGGUUCUUGAUACCGGUUGUGGUUACCACAUUUGUUCUAAUGUGCAGGGACUAAGAAGAAGUAGGGAUGUGGAGCAAGGAAGGAUCAAUCUAAUCAUGGGGAACAGAAGAUCGUCGCCUGUGACCAAGAUUGGAGUGUAUUCUUUAGUGCUUAGGAAUAGUUUAUGUUUAGAUUUGAACAAUUGUUGCUAUUCGCCAGAAAUGGCUAGAAACAUCAUUUCAUUUCAUGGUUUGUUUAGACAAGGUUUUAGAUUUUCUUUUAAUAAUGAGAAUGGUUCUAUUUUGGCUUAUCUAAAUGGUGUCUUUUACUUUGAAGCUAUACCAUGUAAUGGAAUUUAUGAAACUGUUAUGAUUGUUGAUAACUUAGGAAAUGAUGUUUUGAACAUAGAUUCUUCCACUAGUAUGGAUAAAGCAUCCUUGUGGCAUUGUCGUCUUGGACAUGUCAACAAGAAACGCAUAGCCCAACUCCAAAAGGAUGGAGUGUUGGAGUCAUUCGACCUUAGGGAAGAUGACACAUGCGAGUCUUGUUUACUUGGAAAGAUGACUAAGUCACCCUUCACGAGUACGUGUGAAAGGGGUGAGGGUCUAUUGGACCUAAUACAUACCGAUGUAUGUGGACCGUUUAGAUCAACCACGAAGGAUGGGAACCGCUUCUACGUGACUUUUACCGAUGACUAUAGUAGAUAUGGGUAUAUCUAUUUAAUCAAGCAAAAGUCAGAAACCUUUGAAAAGUUCAAAGAGUUCAAGAAUGAAGUGGAGAAUCAAUUGGGCAGGAAAAUCAAGAUGCUUCGAUCCGAUCGAGGAGGAGAGUACCUAAGUCUUGAAUUCCACGAUUAUCUCAAGGAGUGUGGAAUAGUUUCGCAAUUGACGCCCCCUAGGACACUGUAGUUGAAUGGUGUGGCAGAGAGGCGUAAUCGAACCUUAUUAGAUAUGGUUCGCUCUAUGAUGAGUCGUGCUUCACUACCAAUCUCUUUUUGGGGGUAUGCCUUAGAGACUGCCGCCCAUAUCCUUAACCGAGUCCCUACUAAGAAGGUUGCCAAAACACCUCACGAGAUGUGGACAGGGAAAGCUCCCUCGUUGGCACAUAUCAAGGUUUGGGGUUGCGAGGCUUUCGUAAGACGAGAUACUCACGACAAGCUUGAACCUCGAAGUGAGCGAUGUAUUUUCAUCGGCUACCCGCAGACAUCCUUUGGAUAUCUCUUCUAUAGACCGAAGGACAAUGUUGUCUUCGUUGCGAGGAGAGGAGUUUUCCGAGAGCGAGAACUCAUAAGCCAAGGAGACAGUGGGAGGCAAAUCGAGCUUGAAGAGAUUCAAGAGUCGAUAGAUGAAGGAACCUCUACCGCUGGCACUCAACCCGAGGAGGAAACUCCGGUUGAACCGAUUGACGAAUCCUUACCUCUUAGACGUUCCGAUAGAGUUAGAGUUCUACCCCAGUUUUAUGGUUUUCAUAUUACUACCGAAGGGGACACGUAUAUUAGUGAUGGUACACUAAUAAAUCUUGAUGAACCUAAUAGCUAUAAGGAAGCCAUGGCAGGCCCGGAGUCUGCAAAAUGGAAAGAGGCAAUGGAUAGCGAGAUCCAAUCCAUGUAUGAUAACCAAGUUUGGAAUUUGGUUGAUUAUGUGCCCGGACGUAAGACCGUUGGGUGCAAAUGGAUCUUCAAGAAGAAGACCGACGUGGAUGGAAACGUACACACAUAUAAAGCGCGAUUGGUUGCGAAGGGCUUUACUCAAACUCCCGGAGUUGACUAUGAUGAGACCUUCUCACCAGUUGCGAAGAUUAAAUCUAUUAGAGUGAUGCUAGCAAUUGCCGCAUUUCAUGAUUAUGAGAUUUGGCAAAUGGAUGUCAAGACCGCUUUCCUUAACGGAAAGUUGGCUGAGGAUGUUUACAUGGCUCAGCCAGAGGGGUUUGUGGAUCCGAAGCAUCCGAAUAGAGUGUGUAAGCUUGAGAAGUCCAUUUAUGGACUUAAGCAAGCGUCUCGCAGAUGGAAUCUUUGCUUCGAUGAGAAAGUCAAAGAGUUUGGAUUUGUACGAAGCGAAGACGAAUCUUGUGUAUAUGUCAAAGCCAGUGGGAGUAUAGUAAGCUUCCUCGUUCUAUAUGUCGAUGACAUAUUACUCAUAGGAAACGACAUCCCGACUCUGCAGGAGGUUAAGUCCUGGCUCGGGAAGUGCUUCGCUAUGAAGGACCUCGGAGAGGCUUCUUACAUUUUGGGAAUAAGGAUAGUAAGAGAAAGAAGUAAGAGACUAAUUGGACUUAGUCAGAAUACUUACUUAGAGAAGGUACUAAAACGUUUUAGUAUGGAAAACUCAAAGAAGGGAGAACUACCGAUACAAAGUAAUGCCAAAUUGAGUAAGACUCAAAGUCCGAGUACCGAAGCUGAGAUAGCAGAAAUGAGCCGAGUACCAUACGCUUCCGCAGUUGGCUCAAUCAUGUACGCUAUGACUUGUACUCGCCCUGAUGUAGCCUUCGCUUUGAGCAUGGUUAGCAGAUAUCAAGGGAAUCCUGGCAAAGCACAUUGGAUUGCGGUGAAGAAUAUCCUUAAGUACCUUCGGAGGACGAAGGAAUGGUUCUUAGUCCUCGGAGGGAGUGAUGACUUGAAGGUGCGAGGGUAUAGUGACGCCAGUUUUCAGACCGACAGGGACAACUACCGUUCGCAGUCGGGCUGGGUCUUUACCCUAAAUGGAGGAGCAGUGACAUGGAAGAGUUCCAAGCAGGAAACCGUAGCUGAUUCAACGUGCGAAUCAGAGUACAUUGCAGCGAGCGAAGCGUCGAAGGAGGCAAUAUGGCUAAAGAACUUCAUCGGUGAUCUUGGAGUUGUACCUGCCAUAAAGGAGCCCAUGGAGAUUUUCUGUGAUAACGAAGGAGCGGUUGCCUUGACCAAGGAACCGAGGGAUCAUGGUAGAUCAAGACAUAUCGACAGAAAAUAUCACUUCAUUAGACAUCGUGUAGAAGAAGGACAACUCGUAGUGAAGAGGAUAUCAUCAGAAGAUAACCCAGCAGAUCCGCUUACGAAGGGACUGAGUAGGGUUAAGCACUUGCAGCAUGCUAGGAGUAUUGGGCUGAAGGAUGAUAUUAGCAUAGAUUAGAUAGUAUUAGAAACGUGUAAUAGAUAAAUGUAAUUGACAUUUGAUGAUUAAAUAAAGGAGUUUUAUUUAUGAGUAAUGUUACUAUCUUAUGUUAAUUGUUUAGCUAUUGUUUCACUUUGCAUGUUUUGACUUCCAGAAUAAUUGAGUUUAUUAGGAAUAAUCGAAUUGUUCAAAUGGUCCACAAUCGUUCAUAUGUUGGGAGUAGAUAUGAAUGAAGAUUGUCAUGAAUUGGUGUGUAGAAUGUCUAAAUGGUGUUAGACAUAGCAAAGGAUUGCUGCAACGUUCAUGAGUGCUUAUGAACUAGUUUUGAGCAUUGGAAUAAACCCGCGCUUGCUGGAAUCACCUUAUGGAAUACGAUAUAAAAGGUGAUCGCAAGACGAUAAUAUCAUAUAGUCUUAAAACCUAGAUAUAUGGUUUAUUAUUUGUUAAUUGAUUGUACAUUGAUAAUACGAAAACGCAUCAGUAACUUGGUGUUAUAAAACGUAUUGUUGUGUAUAGUUGGUUAAUGAAUAAGUAAAUGCAUAUAAGUCGAAGUUUAUCUGUAACUUUUAUCUAAGAAGGUAAAAGCGAUAUCUCGGCCGCUCGAUGAUUUGAUUUGACUUAUGUGCCGGGCCCGGUCAGAACUGAAUUGAUGUGUUCGAUUAAGUUCUAUGUCAAAUAAAUCAGAGAUCGAGAAACCUAAAUGCUUGACUAACCAUUCCAUAGGAUUGUCAGCAUGAUAUCUAACAGAGGACUGUACGAUCCCUUAUCUAAAGGACAAGAUUGAUUAGAUCAGAGUUUGACAGCGUCUUUGAGAGCUACGAUUGCAAAUCGAAUUGUACUUGUGCAUAUAGUUACUAGACUUAUCCAAGUGGGAGACUGUUGGAAUAGUGUCUAAGGCUGCAACUAUAUUAGGCAAGUAUUUGACCCGGUUGUGCAUGGUCCUUUUGGGUUGCCUUCACCAUAGCAACUUGAUAGGAUGAUUUAUUAAGAGAGAAUAAAUAUUAUUAAUAUAUUAUGAGAAUAAUAUAAAGAAUAAUAAUAUUGUUAUUUGAUUAAUAUAAGUCAUAUAAUUAAUUAGAAUUAAUUUGGUGACUUAAAGAGAUUAAUUAAAUAAGAGGGUAUAAACUGUCAAUUGUUUGAUAGUUAAACUUUAGAUUGUAAAUCCAUAUUGGAUAGGGGUGGACGGAUUCUAGAAGCUAAAGAUAGCUUCAAAUCUUCCAAGUCUAUCUAAGGAAUGGAUUUGGAUAGCUUUAAGAGAAGAUUAUCCAACUAGGGUUUAAGUUGUAACCCUUAAGGAGUCUACAAGUAUAAAUAGACCCUAUGGCAAGGGAAAUCGGCACUUGAUCUAAAGUAGAGAACCCCUGGCCGAUUUCCUCCCCUCUCCUCUCUCCCAAAUCAUCCUCCUUGCUAUUUGGUGUUUGUAAGCCAUUAGAGGAGUGACAAUUGUGACUCUAGAGCUCCAAGACAACAAGAUCAAACAAGAGAUUCAAAGGUAUGAUUCUAGAUCUGAUUUAGUAUUGUUAUUACACAUAAUUAGUCAUUAUAAGUCUUGGAUUCAAAGAAUGUUUAAUUAGAAAGCCUAGAUCCAAGCAUUAGGGUUUGGCAUGCGCACAUAGGAAAGUUCUUAUGGCUAAAACCCAUCAGAUUCAACUGUUGGAUUUUAUCUAGGUAGCUUGAAAAUGCUUGAUCAAUUUUCAUCCAAGGACCUUUCUUGCAAACAUUUAUUUCUUUUGUAACUGAAAUUGUAAUUAAUAUUACAAUUUAAUUACAUAUUAACACACAUUAAUUUUAUGAUUAAUAGAGGUGUUUAAAUGGGAGGUUAUAGAAUGUGUAGUAUAAAUACUACUACUCUACAACCAUUUGUGGACACCAAAAGAAUGUAAGAAAACUCUCUUCUUCCCCACUUCAUCUUCUUCUUUUUCUAGCUAUAUUAAAGAUAUAAUCUAGGCCUAUUAAGGGUUCGGGUGGUCUAGAAGAACCACUUCUAGUUGUUGUAUCCUGGGAAACAAACACCCGAUAGCGGGCGAAUUUGUUUUAAGGACAAUGUGUUAAACACAUGCCUCAACUUUUCUUAUUUCUUAUUUCUUUUUGUACAGUUUCGUAAUAUUAUUCCUACAAAACCCUCAUGAAUGAGUUAUAUUUUUUAUACAAUCAUAACGGGUAUAAAAUAUAAGCUAAAAACAAAAGUUAAAAUUCGCCAAAACAACCAAAAUAAAAGUUAUAAUACAUGUCGACACCUACACAACUAUAUAAGAGUCGUUGAAAAAUGAGUUCCCAAACGAGAGAUACAAAUUUUCAAAGUUUAAAAAUCGCCCAUGUACAGCACGCGACGUGCACUCUGACACCUCGAUCCGACAAGAUACAGAUGGCAUGGCACCUUAAGAGGGGAACACAUGUCAGCUCCCGGGUGGUUCACUCGCAACUUGUGUGGCGUUCUCUCUAAAAUUCUCUAUAAAUAGCAAGCUUUGGCAGAUCAAUUGCCACACCUUGAAAAUUACAAUUCUAUCUCUCACUCUCCCUCCCCCUUCUCUCUCUCUCUUUCUCCCUCUCUUUCUCUCUAUUCUUGAUUAUCAUGUCUAUACCUACGAGCUAUCCUUGUGUUCUGGGCUUUCGACUCUACCCUACAUCAAUGGUUUCACGCAUCAAGAGUGAGUUCACAGCCCCACUUUUCAUUUUUCAAACCUUUUUUUAGGGAGAGGGGCGCAAGGGGGGAGGGGGUGGGGAAUACAUGUUAUAUCACAACUAUUUUUAAUCAUUACAUAAUUAUUACUAACUAUAUAGUAUUAGUAAUAUAAUUAUGCUUAAGAUAUUAGGAUAAUAUUAUGCCUAGUAGAUACAUUGCCUAACAUUUUUGGAUAAUUUAUGCCUAGAUGUUACGCUUACUCACACACUCAGAAAUCAUGCAUAUCUAGUCGUUACACUGGUUAAACCUAUAGAGGAACAUUAUACCUAACUGUUAUGUAGUUACUCUAGCCAAUCUAUAGCCACUCUUUGGAUAGCUUUGUACCUAGUGGUUAAUUUUCCCAAAUACUCAGCUAACCUGAAUACUAUAACACACACACACACACACACACACACACACAUAUAUAUAUAUAUAUAUAUAUAUAUAUACACUAGGUAUGAGACCUAUGUAUUACAUGGGUUUAUCUAAAAGAAAAUUAAAUAUGAAAUUCUAACAUUUGAGAAGUUUGAAUUUAUAAGAAAAGUGAGAAAAGUAUUGUAUUAUUAAAGUUAAAGUGUUUAUUCUCUUUUGAAUUAAUAAAAGAAAUUUAGAUAAAUAAUCCAAUAAAAUAAUGAGACUUUAAUUUAGUAAUUUUGAAAUUAGAAGAGAAGUUCAUUAAUGAAAUUGAUAUGCAUAUAUCAUUACAUUUAAAUACAAUAUGGAAUUUAUACCACAUACAACACAUACGCCACUCAAGGCCAUAGCUCUAUGGGACCUUCCAGUCCAUGUGUCUCAGGGGACUUUCAUCCCAACCCUGGUAGACCUUCCGGUCCUACACGUAAUGACCUUCCGGUCCAUACCCUUUUUGACCUUCCGGUCCAUACACUGUUGACCUUCCAAUCCAUAACAUGAUGACCUUCCGGUCCAAAUACAUACUACUCAUAACAUAACAUAACACAUACAUAUCCAUUUUCACCUAUCAACAUAUAUCACAUACUCUUCAUAACACAUAGGACCUUCCGAUCACACAUAAUUACCACUUUAGGUAACGUAUAGUGAGAAGACUCACCUCGGAUGAAGUUGGAUAAACUCCCGUGCUUGAAUAUCCUGACCUAGCCUCCUCCUAUCAACAGGAUAACAUCUCUAAUCAAAAUCCUCUCAUGUUCUCAUCUCUAAUAAUGGCUAGAAGACCAUUCUACCGCUCUAUGACCUCUCUUGAAUCAACUUGACCAAAACCCCAAGGUCAACUGAAGUCAACUCUAGUCAACGUUCAAACUUUGACCAGACUCGUCGAGUGCACAUGGGUGACUCGAAGAGUCCAAGCGUGUCCUUUGGAUCCUUCUAAAGCCUCACUCUACUCUUCGUGUGAACCUUCCACUCGACGGGUUACCACUACUAAUGAAUCGCGGGGCAACCCGAUCCGACUCGUCGAGUUCCCUUAUGGACUCGGCGAGUUUCCUCCAUGGCAACACUUAUUCGACCUUCUGAGGUCAGAUCUGUUUCUCUAACUUAUAGAUCCCCAAAAGUCGCGUAAAGGUCUGAACUUGAGGCUCAUGCAUGGUGUAUUUUGCUCUAUACAUCAUUAUGACUCCAUUGAAGCUUCAUAGCUUCAAAGCUCCAAGGUUACUCCUUCAUGGCCACCUACUUUCAGGUUCUCUGGACCUCAGAAGGUCCAGAUCUACAAAAUAACUCGAAAAAAGGGUUUGGAUGCACCCAAAACCCCAUCAAUAAGGCGAUACAAGCCCUAACUUAACCACCAAAGGAAAUCUACUCAAACAGAAGGGAGACAAGAGCUUGUACCAGAUCUGAAGCUUGAAAUGAGGAUGAAACUGAUCCACCAACCCUCCUCUGAGAUCCUUGCAACACCCUUGACCUUCUUCUCAAAGAAAUGACCUCCAAUUAGCCUCUCUCUCUCUCUCCUCUUUAGCUCACAAAUAGCUCUAGGGUUUCUCUUAAGGGACGAAGACACUGAUGGGAAGGGGCCAAGGAGGCUAUAAGUGCCUUUAAAUAGGCCCAGGCCCGAGAGAAUUAGGGUUUUUGUUAACAGUGCUGACUCGGCGAGUCAGCUUGCCGACUCAUCGAGCCCAUUCAUUUUCCACGUGACCAAGCCGCGAUCCUACUCGACAAGUUAAGGCGCCAACUCGUCGAGUUACUCCUCAUAACUUCGAAAAUAAAUACUCAUUUUAUCAUACCUAGAAAUCCGGAUGUUGCAAAUUCUAGUGGGGGAGAAUUGUAACAUCCCGAAUCCCAGGUAUAAUAUUCAGUUAAAUUAUUUUCAUAUUUUCAGAGCAACUCGACGAGUUGGAUGCCCCAACUCGCCGAGUAGAGGAGUUAUUUGGCCGCAUGAUUCUGGAGUCUACUUGACGGGUUGGAGGACCCCGACUCGACGAGUAGGAGCUGGGUGAGAAAAACCUAUUUUUUUGGCUUUGUGUGCUAUUUAAAGGACCUUAAGCCCUCAUUUCUGCCACCCUUGUCACCCUACUACACUGUGUGAAACCCUAAUCGAGCUAUAACCUUGUGUGUGAGAAAGAGAGGCUAAUAUUGUGUGUUUUAGUGCAUUCUUGGAGGAAAGUUGAAGAGCAAAAGACUUUGGAUGAGAAGGAGCUUUUGGAUACGGUGUUCAAUCAUUCCUAGCUUUUGUUUGAAGGUAAAAAGUCACCAUCUUGCUAAUUGUUUUGGUUAGAUCUUGUUUUUAGGGAAUUUAGAGCCUUUUUCCC
rnacentral:lncRNA from 1 species